AGGUGAUGCUUUUCACUAAGAAGAGACUCUAAGAUUAGAUUCCCAAUGUAUAGAGUGUUUGCGCAGUAAACAAAUCAAUCACUUAUCAUUUAUAUAACAGUAGAAGUGUAUGGAGAGUGGGACUAACCUUGGAAGCAAAGGUCCCCUGAGGCCAGUUGAGCAACCCGGCAACCAUUUGCCCUGUUUGAUUGCAAUCGUCAUCAAUGGCCUAGAAAACCCAUGCCCACAUCAGAAAACAACAAUCCACCAUAAAAAGAGUCUAGGAUUUUCACGGAAUCCGCAAAUUUAUUUUUAAAUCGUUACCAAAAACCCUAAUCUCUGGGCACGAAUUCACAGACCUGUUUGCCCAGAAUAAGGAGGCCAGGCUUCUCCACAUCGACGAGAGCUUUGAGAAGCUUAGCAACUGAAAGUGGGUACAGAGUGGCGGAAGCUUCGACGUGGAUGGCCCUAUCGGCGCCCAUGGCGAGACCCGUUCUGAGCGUGUCGACGCACUGGCUGGGACCCACACUGACAGCGAUAACCUCCGACGCCAGACCCGAUUCCUUGAUCCUCAGAGCCUCUUCCAAACCUAUCUCACAAAAGGGGUUCAUCGACAUCUUGACGUUGCUGGUCUCCACGCCGCUCUGAUCGUGGGUUGGCGAUUGUUAUUGGAUGAUGAUGAAAUUACAGAUACUGAAUAACUUGAGAGUUUGGAUUUGGGUUACCUUGUCGGAUUUGACUCUGAUCUUGACAGCGUAGUCCACAACACGCUUUAUCGCCACCAUUAUCUUCAUCUCGUAUAUGGGUGGUUAUCUUCUCCGGCACAAGGGUAUUGGCAAAUGACUGAUGAUGAAGGACGAGGAUAUUCGCCCGAGCCCUACUGCACGACACCACAUCCGCUUAUAAAAUCUUUUGAUACGGAUAAGUACAAGGGAAGUGGAAAAAAAGGAUUAUUAAGAAAAAUAAAUAUAUUACCAAAAAAAUUAUUUAAAAUUUUGUUCAUGUAGAAAGAACCCGUGAAUCAGAUCGAAAAAAUUAUAUUAAAACUGCUGUAUAGCCGAAAAUUGUGUACAGAAUUUAUUUUAACAUUGUAUUAUUGAAUUUUUUAUUCAAAAAUUGCUUAACGUGAGAUAGAAAUUAAAAAAUCAUUAGUAAUUUUGUCCGAAAGUUGUUAUAUUUCAUGUGUUUUAAAAAUAGAUGUAAUUUAUUCCUAUUUGCAUUUUUAACGUACAUUUAAUUAAAUAACCCAAAAAGUUAUUGAGUUCACAUCAUCUAUGGAGUCUACCUCUCUUUGCUUUUGUUGCUUCCAAAAAUACCAUACUCCCAUAUUUUUUUGGUUCUACUCAUUUUACUUUAUUUUUUUCAUUCCAUUCAUUCCACGUGAAGUCUUCAAUCCUAAUAACAUUUACUAUAUUACAAUUAAGUUUAAUUUUUAAAAAACUUAAUUAGGGUUAAAUUUCCUUUGAGAGAACUUCAUUACAAUUAUUUGAGUUGUACGUUAAGUUUCAUUUAAAAAUAACUUAUUUAAAAAGAUGUUAAGCUUCCCCUAUUUUAUUUAUAAAGUUUAAUAUCUAUUUGAUUUUAUAUUUGAAAUCCAACUAAAACCUAAUAACGAAUUGUUGUAAAAAAACUCCAAUCAAAAUACUAACAAAAAUUAAAACAUAAAACUCUGAUAAAAAAUUGUUAAAAAAUCCAACAAAAAAACAAUCAUAAAAAACCCUAAUCAAAAACAUCAUGGAAGUUUAAAUGAAAUUGCCAAAAAAUAAAAAGUAUAGAAAACCCUAACAAAAAAACAACACCAAAACACCUGACAAAAAACAAUUACAAAUUCUAGCACAAAAACCCCCAAUUAAAAAUAUCUAUAAAGAAAAACCUAAAAAAAACCAAUUAUAAAACCUCCAACAAAAAAUAAAGAGAAAGAUGAAGAAUAUGAAAAAUUUUGAAGAAGAAAGAAACAUGAGAGAACUAUCAUUGAUCUUUAUUUGUUAAUCUUUGUUAUAUGUUUGAACUUCACUAGAAAAUGAGAGAGAGAGCAUAAACCUAAAGAGAGAAAGAGCUGAAAAUGAGAGGAGAAAUGAAUCACAAUGAGGGGAAUGACAAUUUGAGGAAAUAUAGAAGGGUUAAAUCAUUUGAACUAGGUUAACGUUUUUAUUAAAAAAAAAGAGUAAUGAAGGUCCUUGUUCUAAUUUCAAGAGUAUGUCUGUUAAUUACCAAAUGUGGCAACUCUAAAUAAAAUCCUUUGUUAUCAACUAAAACUAAAAGUCCCAUUACAUCAUAUCCAACUUUCAUUUGUUAUCAACAAAGUAAAACUAUAUACAACUAUUAUCACCAUCUCUCCUAUUUUGAUGUUAUUUUCUUAGAUGAAUUUGUAAAUCAAAAUUUACACCACCCAUAAAUUUUUUGAGCUUCCUAUUUAACACAACUUCAAUUUGUUAUACUUUGAACAUCACAAAGAUAAAGUAAUCAACAUUUUGCUUGGACAAGUUUUUCUUCUCUAAAGUUUAGAGUCCUAUUUCACUUCCCGUUUAUGGGUUGUUAGUUCAUCUAAUAUCUCACCAUCAUCCAUUCCAUGUACUGUGUUUCCGAAAUGAGUUGAUUCCACAUCCUAAAUGUCUGUGCAAAUUAAUAAGGAAUGUCGAGUUACCAAUUUUCUUAAAAGCUUAAUCUUGCAAGAUUUGGAUUCAAAAUGCAUAUCAUGCUCUCUUUAACACCCCUCCCCCCUCUCACAUGUAGCCCUAUACCCACACGUAGAGAAAUAGACUUAUAGGAAAAUUGGUAGUUUAAUAUAGUAUCAGCACUUGGUUUGGUGGGAGGUCUCCUGUUUGAGUCACCUCUCCACAAUUUACAUUUCUCCUAUUUGUUUAAUUUACAGUUCUUCCCUUAAUCUGUAAUUCUUUGGAUAUAAAUUUUCCCCCUAAUUUGUAGUUUUGUGGAUAUGAAUCUCUCUUCCAUGUUCAGGUAUGGGGCCACACAUAAGAGAGGGUGUUAAAGAGCAUGAUAUGCAUAUUAAACCCAAAUCCUAUAAGUUAAAACUUUUAGGAAAAUUGGUAGUUUAACGCUUUUAGGAAAAUUGGUAGUUCAACAUGUGUACACCCCAUUUUGGGGACUGCUAUUGCUCCCACUUCUUUUUGUCAAAUGGUGGAGCUUUUUAGGAGCACAUGUUGUAUUUGGAAAGGCUAUUAGAAAAUGGCAACAUGACUGUUAAUGGAAGUAAUGAUUUUCUAAAAAGGCAACCAUGGGAAGACACAUAACAAAGAUGUUUGGGGAGGAGGGAGAGUGUGCAUCAAGACUACUCAUGAGGGGUAAGAAACAAAAAAAAAAAAGUGUCGAAGAUAACUAAAAAAUUGGAGAAACAUAAAGGAAUAAGGAUUUUAGGGCUAUGGAUGGUGAACAAGAGUGAAUUAUGGGUGUCUAGGACAGCUAGGAAUGGUGAGAGGAGUAGGGAGCUGUAGAAGGUGAUGAGCUAGGUAAGAUGUAUUUUCGAGAAAGAAAAGAACCAAAGAAAGAAGGUGGUGAAUUAAGUGAGACACGUCUCAGAGAAGCAGAGAAAGUUGGCUUGAAGCCAAGCAAACUUUUGCUUGAGAUGAGCAUUGCCUAGUAAGAUUGUUUCGAUUCAUCGAUUAUUACUGAUCAUCAUACUUCUCUUGUCUUAUAUUCAUGUGAUUAUUUUACAUUGAUUGUGGGGUUGCUUUGGUUUGGUUAUUAUGGCUUCAUCCUCUAUUUCUUUAGUUUUAUUCAAGGAUAAAUCUAAUUGUGCUUUGAUUAGUUAUUCCAUAUUUGAAAAUCUUUGUGUAUUUUGGGUUUUUUCUCUUUAGAUAUUUUCUAGAUUAAUCCACUGACCUUUAAACCCACAAAUAAAGAAAAAUGAAAUGAGUUUUUUCAUAUUUGUUGGGUGUUUGGCCCUUGUUUAUCUUUUUUUAAAGCUUUAUUCCUUUAUAUUCUCUAUUUCUCCCCAUUUUGUACAUGGGUGUUUCAAUCAGAGUCUCUAUUUUGGCUUCCACAUUUGAGAUUUCUUUUAUGAGCGAAGACCCAAAAAUGGAGACUGGCUUCUUGUAAUUGAUAAAAUAGUUAGUCACCCAUUAGCUUAGAUGAAGCAUAGAUGUUAACCGGAUUGUGAACAUGGAUACUCUAUUUUGGGCCUAUUAGGCCUUCCAAUCCUCUCUUAGUUUCAUUAUUCUUGAGGAUAGUGUUUGGUUGUGUCUGCUACUUAUUCUGUGGCUUCGGUGGUCUGUUUGUUUAUUCUUGGCUAUUAUCAAUGCUAACAAUGGGAAAGAGACUGGUUUUGGUUAUGCUCUUACGGAUUUGAAGGUGAUCAAAGGGUCCAGUGAAGAGAAGAUUAGUAGGUCAUAUUAGGUUAAUUAAUUAAUUAGGACAUGUUUUGAGUUAUAUUAAGUAAUACAAGCUCUUAGUGGGCUUAAGUAACUUAAGCCUAGUGGGGAAUGCCAUAAAUACCCCUUAGGGGUUAGCAUUUCCAUAGGUUUUUCUAGAGAGUCAUCUUUCACCUCCAAAGAAGGAGAGUCAUAGCCUUUACCAUUUUUUCCAUCAUUAUCGAAGUGUGUCAAGAUUAAGGUUUAAGUCAUUGAGCGGAAGACUCCAGGUUUAUGAGACUUCAUACAACUUCGUUUUUCAUUUUCAUCAAAUGGAAUUAAUUUGAAAACAUUUGAAUCUGAAGUAUGGUUUUUGUUAGCAUAUUUCGAAUCCCUUUAAAGUUUAAAAAUGCAAAUUUUCCACUAUGUAUAGGAUUUAAAAUCGCUUAAGAUAGUUAAACAUGUUCCCCACUUGAUCUGAAUUGGGAAACGGAGAAAUCUGAUAUUUUCCCAUCACAAGGUAGGAUAAGAACUUGUGAUUGAUCUUUAUGGAUUGGACUAAUUAAUUAAUUGGAACCUAAUUAGGCUAAUUAAUUAAUUAAGACCUAAGCAAACUAGUUUAAGUUACACAAGCCUAGGAUGGACUUAAGUGACUUAAGCCCAUGGGAAGCUUAUAUAAACUCCUUUAGGGGUUAGGGUUUCAAACUUUUAUCAUCUAGUCUUCAAUUCCUUAAAGAGAAUAGAACUCGAGCCAACAACUCUCCUAAAGGAUUCUAUUGCUCCGUGUCAAGAUUCGAAAAAAAACUAUUUGAUGGAAGGUUGUUAUGUUUAUGAGAUUCGUUAUGUUUUUUUACACCUUUUCACUAAAUGGAAUUGAUAUAGGAAUGUUCAUAUCUCAAGUGCAACACACUUAUUCUCUUUAGAUUUAUAUUGCUUAUGGUUUUUUUUUUUUUUGUCAUGGUUUUCCGUUAAGAUUAGAUUAAGAGAGCCCUAUGUCAUAGAAUGCUUCAAAUGAGCCUCCCCGGGGGUUUGUAUAGAGCCCAUGAAGCUUCUAGAGACUCCUAUACUUAGCCAUUGGUGGGAAGAGUGUGAAAGGUUCUACAGAUGUCUAGAGAUAUUUACACAUCUCUACACUAUGGUGGAAGGCAUGAGAGGAGUCUAAGGCAUUCUAAAGAAUUAUAAAGAUCUCUUAUAUAUUCUUGUACAUAGGCUUGUACAUAGAAUUGUGUAGGAAGUUAUAGAUUAUUCUUGAGCUGUAAGGAACCCUCCAAGGUUCCAGAGAGUUCCAUUGGUGCCUAUAAAUAGGUGAAUGCCUCAUUUGGCCAAGACACUAAGCAAGUGAAUUCCAAAACACUUGUAAAGCUUCCUUUGAAUAAUAAAAGUUUCAAUUCUUCAAGAGUUGCCUAUUAUGCCUUCUAAAACUUCUAAGUCAUGAGCAUCUUAACCUAACAAGUUAAGCAUUGGGAGUAAUGCUAACUUAGCAAGAUCAAGGAUCUUGACUUGUCUAAGUGUUGCACGAUCUUAGGAAAAGAUUAAGUUUGUGACAGUUGGUUUCAAAGUGUGACUACGAAGUGAGCAUAGUAAAGGAAACAUGUCGAGCUUCAACAUGGAGGAAACUAGUGAGCAAACCCGUGGGAAAGAAACCGAGCCUACUGCAUAGGACAGGGACAUGAAGGAUAAAUCUCGUAAUGCCAUAGCCAACGUGGAGGCAAGGCUAGCCAAGGUGGAGCUAGCCAUGGCAGACACCCGGGAAGGGGUGGACUUAAUCGAGCAAGGCAUGGAAAAUGGCUUAGAGGAUCUAAAUGAGCAUAUCCAAGACCUUCAUGAGAGAGUGCUAGGCUUACAAGUUCGGCCGAUGUCAUAUGAGGAGUUCAUGUCCUUCCAAAACGAGGUCAUGAGCAUGUUUGCUAGCAUGGAGUCGAAGGUGGAGGCCUUGGCUGCACGCAUAGAGGCCCAAGACCAAGAGGUUCAACAAGAGCUAGCUAUCUACAAGACUGUCUUAUCAGCACGAGUCAUGGCCACUCAUGAGGCACUAAGGGUGGAAGUGCCCAAACCACACACGUUCAAUGGCAAGAGGGAUGCCAAGGAGUUGGACAAUUUCUUGUGGCACAUGGAGCUCUACUUUGAGGUUAUAACACUAAUAGAUGAAGCCACUAAGGUAUGUACCACAACCCUCUACCUCACCAAUAAAGCUACUCUAUGGUGGCGUCAGAGGUUUGCCAAUAUAGAAAAAGAAAUGUGCACCAUAGACACAUGGGAUGCCUUUAAGCAAAAGAUCAAAAAACAAUUAUACCUUAAUGAUGUGGCUUACCUAGCAAGGAAAAACACAAAAUGUCUUAAGCACACAGACUCGAUCCGUGAGUAUGUCAAAGAAUUCUCUACACUUAUGCUUGAGAUACCCAACAUGUCUGAGGAAAAGCUACUAUUCAACUUCAUGGACAACUUGCAAAGCUGGGCCGAGCAAGAGUUAAGGAGAAGUGGUGUCCAAGACCUAGCCACGGCCAUGGCGGUAGCGAAGUCCUUGGUGGAAUACAAAAAGGGAGACUCUUUUAAGCCCAAGCCACAGUCUAAGGGUAAUCAUGCUAAAGGUGGGGAAACAAGGGAUCAAGGAGGUACACUCCUAAGGAAUGAUCAAGCAAGACCUCUGGUGGCAAGGAUGGUAAGGGUAAGGAUAAACGGAAAUAGUUCACGCCUAAGAUCAAUUGCUUCCUAUGUGAUGGUCCACAUUGGGCGCGAGACUACCUCAAAAGAAAAGCCCUAAAUGCCAUGAUCGAGGAAAAGUAGAAGGAAGACAAUGCUCAUGUGGGAUCAUUACAACUCUUAAAUGAUAUCAAGGCUAAGUCAGUGCUUAAGACACCUCAAAGUAAAAGUCUAAUGUACAUAGAAGCCCUUGUAAAUAGGAAGGCUACCAAGGCUUUGGUGGACACUAGUGUCACUCAUAACUUUGUCUCGAAGGAUAAGACAAAGAACUUAGAGCUCCAAGCAUCUAAGGAAGGAGGUUGGCUCAAGGCAAUUAAUUAAGUUUCCAAGCCAUCACACGAAGUAGCACGCAGGGUGGCAAUGCACAUUGGCUCAUGGGAAGGAAUGGUCGACUUCACAGUGGCACCCAUGGACUACUUCAAGAUGGUACUGGGAAUGAACUUCCUAUAGAAAGACAAGGUCAUGCCACUACACUUCCUACAUUUAAUGGUUAUCCUAGAGGAUGAAAAGUCAUGCAUAGUCCUUACGGUCACCGAAGGUUCACCCAAGACCCCUAUGAUAUCGGUUAUGCAAGUAAAGAAGGGAUCAAAGAGGAAAGAGGUGACCUACCUCACCACUCUUAAGGAGGAAAAUGAUGAUGAGUUGGGGGAGCCCAUGCCUAAGGAAAUCAAGAGAGUCUUUGAUGAGUUCAAGGACGUGAUGUUGCCUAAGUUGCCUAAAAGACUCCUUCCUAGAAGAGAGAAAGAUCAUAAGAUCGAGUUAGAUGCAGGAACUAAGCCCCUUGCUAUGGGGCCAUAUAGGAUGGCACAACCCAAGCUGAAAGAGCUAAGGAAACAACUUAAGGAGUUGUUGGAUGCAGGGUUUAUCCAACCAUCCAAGACUCCCUAUGGCGCACCGAUUUUAUUUCAAAAGAACCAUGAUGGGUCCCUACAGAUGUGCAUCGAUUACCAAGCACUCAAUAAGGUAACAAUAUAGAAUAAGUACCCCAUUCCACUCAUUGUUGAUCUAUUUGAUCAACUUGGUAAAGCAAGGUAUUUCACUAAGUUGGACUUGAGAUCAGGCUACUACCAAGUGAGGAUUGUGGAAGGAGACAAACUGAAGACUACAUGUGUGACCCGAUAUGGCUCAUAUGAGUUCUUAGUGAUGCUCUUCGAUCUCACCAAUGUACCAACAAUGUUUUGGACACUCAUGAAUAAGAUCUUCCAUCCCUAUUUAGACUAGUUUGUGGUGGUAUACUAAGAUGACAUAGUCAUCUACAAUAGCAUCUUAGAGGAGCACGUGGAGCAUUUAAGGAAGGUCUUCAAGAUCUUAAGGUAAAACGAGUUAUAUGUAAAGAAGAAGAAAUGCUCAUUUGUUAAAGAGGAUGUGAGCUUCCUAGGGCAUCGCAUCAAAGAUGGCAAGCUGAUGAUGGAUGACAACAAGAUGAAGGUCAUCUAGGAAUGGGAUCCACCUACUAAGGUACCUCAACUAAAGUCUUUCCUUGGCUUGGCUAACUAUUACCAGUGGUUCAUCAAGGGUUACUCUACAAAGACAGCUUCACUCACUAAUCUUCUUAAGAAGAACAAGGCAUGGGUGUGAGACAAAAGGUGGCAACAAGCCUUUGAAGAUCUAAAAAGUGUUGUGAUUGAGGAGCCAAUGUUGGCAUUACCCAACCACAUGAAGGUUUUUAAGAUACACACAGAUGCCUCAAACUUUGCUAUUAGGGAAGUUCUGAUAAGAUAGACAUCUAAUCGCCUUCAAGAGUUGCAAGCUAAAUGACAUAGAGAGACGCUACAUGGUACAAGAAAAUGAUAUGACUGUCAUUGUCUAUUACUUGCACACCUGAAGACACUAUCUUCUAGGGUCUCACUUCAUAGUGAAAACCGACAAUGUUGUCAUUAGUUACUUCUAAACACAGAAAAGUCCUAAGUAAGCUAGGUGGCAAGACUUUCUGGUUGAGUUUGACGAUGCGCUGGAGUAUAAGACAAAAAGUACUAAUCAUGUGAAUGACGCCCUAAGCCGUAAUGUAGAGCUAGCAUUCAUGACGAGCCAGCCCCAAUGAGACAUAAUAGAUCUUCUAAGAGAGGGGUUGCAACAUGAUCUAGUGGCUAAGAGCCUUAUUACCUUGGCCCAUGAGGGAAAAACUAAGUGUUUUUAGGUAGAGGACGACCUACUCUACACUAAGGGGAGACUACUCUACGUGCUUAAGUGGGGGAACAUAAGGUAGAACUUGAUUAAGGAGUGCCAUGACACCAAGUGGGUUGGGCACCUUGGGCAACGACGCAUAAAGAGCACUACUCGAGUCAGCUUACUACUGAUCUUAGAUACAAGAUGAAGUUGAGGCAUAUGUGAGGACUUGUCUUGUGUGCUAACAAGACAAGGUAAAACAACAACAACCUAGAGGCUUGUUGGAGCCACUACCUAUAGCAGAGCGUCCAUGGGAGAGCAUCACCAUGGACUUCAUCAUCGGGCUACCUAAGUUGGAGGGCUAUGGCUCGAUCAUAGUGGUAGUGGAUAUGUUCUCUAAGUAUGUGACCUUCAUAGUAGCCUCUACUGACUGUACUGCAAAGGAGACAGCAAGGCUAUUCUUGAAACACAUGGUCAAAUACUGGGGGUCGCCUAAUUACAUCAUCAGUGAUCGCGAUUUGCAUUUCACUAGGAAGUUUUGGACAAAGCUCUUUAAGCUUAUGGGUUUGAAGCUUCACUUCUUCACAAGCUUUUCACCCGUAAACAGAUAGGCAGAUUGAGAGGGUGAACGCCUUAUUAGAGUUAUACUUAUCCUUCAUGAGUGUCAACCAAAAGGAAUGGACUAAGUUGCUAGAUGUAAUCCAAUUUUCAUACAACUUGCAAAGAAGUGAGACAACCAACAAGAGCCCGUUCAAGCUAGCCAUAGGGCAGCAACCAUUGACUCCUCACACACUACCAAUAGGCUAUACGAAGAGAAGUUCAGCGGCUUUGAAGUUCACUAAGGGGUGACACGAGCCAACUGACAUAAUAGCUCAUACUUGGAUAGGGCCGCUAGAAAGAUGAAGAAGUGGGCUGACAAAAAGCGACAUCACACUGAGUACAAGGUCGGAGACAUGGUCUUUGUCAAGCUCCUUCCUAAAAAAUUCAAGUCACUAAGGCCGGUACAUAAAGGCCUUAUGAUGAGGUAUAAAGGACAUUUCCCCAUACUUGGAAAGGUCGGCAAGGUGUCCUAUAGAGUUGAGUUACCACCGAGGUUGAAGAUUCAUAUCGUCUUCCACGUAAGUUACAUAAAAUCAUAUCACGAAGACAAGAAUUAUCCAAGCCAAGGGAUGUCCUAGAUGACACCUACAUCGAUUAUGACCUUCUAUGACAAGGAAGUAGAACACAUCAUUGCAGGCUGAGUCAUCAAGAGAUGAGGCGUGCCUCCUGCUACGGAGUACUUGGUGAAAUGGAAGGGACUACCAGAGAACGAGACUAGCUGGGAGCCAAUAGAUGCACUAUGGCAAUUUCAGGAGCACAUUAAGUGGUUCUAGGUGGAAGGUGCGACAAGGACGUUUACGGUUUAGGUAGGGGAGAGUGUCAUAGAAUGCUUCAAAUGAGCCUCCCCAGGGGUUUAUAUAGAGCCUAAGAAGCUUUUGGAGACUCCUACACUUAGUCAUUGGUGGGAAAAUGGUGGAAGGUUCUAAAGAUGUCUAAAGAUAUCCACACAUCUCUACACUAUGGUGGAAGGUAUGAGAGAAGUCCAAGGCUUUCUAGAAAAUUCUAGAGAUCUCUUGUAUAUUCUUGUACAUAGGCUUGUACAUAGAAUUGUGUAGGAAGUUUUAGAUUAUUCUUGAGUUGUAAGGAACCCUCCAAGAUUCCAAAGAGUUUCAUUGGUGCCUAUAAAUAGGUGAAGGCCUCAUUUGGCCAAGGCACCAAGCAAGUGAGUUCCAAAGCACUUGUAAAGCUUCUUUUAAGUAAUAAAAGCUUCCAUCCUUCAAGAUUUAUCUACUACGCCUUAUAAAGCUUUCAAGUUGUGAGCAUCUUAACCUAGCAAGCUGAGCAUUGGGAGCAAAACUGACUUAGCAAGAUCAAGGGUCUUGACUUGUCUAAGUGUCGCACGAGCUUAGGAAAAGACUAAGUUCAUGACACCUAGGACUAGUAGCAUGCACCCUAAGUAAUCCAAGGCUAGAAAUGAAAUGAUACAAGGAUUCCCAACACUUGACUUAAUUCCUUAGAAAUUGAAACUCAAUAAAAAACAUUAGUGUCAUUAACCUCAUUUUUUUUAUUACCAAUACUUAAUUAGGGGAAACCUUGAGCUAACAACCUCCUCAUUUUUUAUGAUGAUAAAACUGUACCAUCUAAAGAAAGCUUUCCUUAAUGUAUGCAUAUUAUAAGCAAUUUAAACAUUCAUCAUAAAAGAUGGAAAACAUAAACUCAAAUGGAGACAUGGAUAUAUAGAUAUAAGAGACAUCAUAAAGGUUGCAACAUGAUCGUAUAUCCGAAAUAGCAUCCAAAAGCAUGUCAUCCAAAAAAAAAUCAACCAUAAUAACCAUGUUCAAAUUGUCCCAAAAAGGAAAAAAAUAUAUAUAUGAAACAAAAAGUAUUAAAUAGUUUACUAAAUGUUAUGCCCUAGAUACCUAAAGAUAUCUCCCCCUUAGGCAACAUCGAAACAAUGAGGGAACUAUAUGGCUCAAGGUUGAGGUGGUGGAAACAAGGAACAUAGGACAGCUAUUGAAGAAGCUAAAAUUCUUCAUAAAUGAUUGAAUUUUAUUUCACCAUGAGAAACAAUACAAAGAGGGAUUUUUUUUUUUUUUUUUUUUUUUUUAUCAAGGGGAAGACCCCUUUCUCUUUACUACUUAUCCCUUUUAAUAAAAAUUCUUCCACAUUUUUCCACUUUAUUUUGCCAACAUUCUUUCAACCCCUUUUGCACAAAAAUGCCAAAGAUAGUAUUAGGAUAACCUUUUACAACCAUUGCUAACUUUUGACACAAGUUGCUAAAAAUUGUUGAAGAUUUGCUUUUAAUGUCAGGUAGGAUAGCAGAUUGGUUCUAAUUGAAGGUCAUUUCUUGUGGAGGACCUUACUUAUAAGUGAGAUGAUUGUUCCUAUCUUCAUGGUUUUAUGUUGUAUAGUUAUAGAGACUUUUUAGAGGCUAUCAGCUUUAGAGCAAAUUUAUGUUGUUUGUUAGGGAUUAAGUAUUUUAUUCAAAUUGGGUGAAUGGUACUACCUCUUUACUUGAGAUGGCUUUGAGAUUGGGUGGUUGAAUAGUAGUACUUUGGAAUGGUCUAGUUUUUGUUCGCUUUAGCUAUCAUUUUCUUAUGCUGUGUCUAUAGACGAGUGGAGACGUCAUUUGGAAAUUGGUCAAAUUGCCCGUGAAAUUGAUCAAAUUGUCAAGUUGUCAUCCUAAAAUUGACUAAACCUAGUUUGUAAAAAUGAGAAACGACCGUCACUAGCGACUAACAUCUUCUCAAGCUAAGUAUUAAUAGAUCCAAUCUGAGCAUAAAGGGCAUCUUAAUGUUGCAGGUUCAAUGCUCAUGAAGCAUAAUAUUUUGGAUACUUGGUGUGAGACACCUCAGCAUAAGUCUAAUCCAUAAGGAUAGUCUCCUCAGGAGGUUGAGAUGUGGGCAAUUGAAUGGUGGCAUCCAUGCCCUUGGUUUGCAUCUCCUGUUGAACAUCCUCACCCCCUAAUCCUUUAUGGUCACCCUCAGUCUCUAUCUAUAGAAUCUCUGCCUCUUACUCAACCCGGUCUUCAUUCAUAGCAGGACCCUUUCUUUUUCUUUCCAAUGAUCCAUUAGGCAAUUUCUCAAACAGCAUUCGGUCUGGAUUUUACGUUAUAGGUAUCAUAGGAUGAGGCCUGAAUGUUUUUUUCUCUUCUUAUGUCCACAUUGAAUGCUUUCAGGAUUUUUGUGAUCAGUCUUCUUCCGUUGGCCACUACUUUAGAAUUGCUUUUACAACAGUUUUUCAUGUGUUGAAAGAUGAUAAGGAAACCUUAGAAUGGAUCGGAGUCAAUAGAAAAUGCUACAUAAUAGGACACCUUGUCUCUAUGUCCACCCUUAGGUAGAAAAAUAUGUUUGAUCAUGUGGUGGUGCACCCUAGAGAUAAUGCUCAAGGCAUGGGCAUGGAGCUUUGAAGUCACUGUGUCGAUGGGUAAGUUACAUAUCCUCUAGAAAGCCCUACCUAGGUUAAAACUAGACACUAUAGGCCAUCCCUUCGUCUCAAAUAAACAAAGUCCCCCACAAAGGAUCUCCAAAAUAUCACAAAGCAUAUCAAUAUUUAGUUUAAUUCAACUCCUCUAACAAAUGUGCUAAUUGGCCUUCAUAUAUUUUAGGUUCAAGUAAAAUACCUGAACAAGGUUGGGGUAUGUAGGCUCUCUUGAUGAGAUGGUAUUGGUGAGUAUUUUUUUUUCUUCAAUACAAAACUAUUACAACACUUGGUUUUUUUUUUUUCUAAAAAAAAAAGAAAAAUAAAAAUAGUUUUAUAUUAUACUUAGUUUCAAGAAAAAUAAUAAUCAAAGCAAAAUGAAAAAAAAAUUCUCAUAUUGGUUUCUCGUGAAAAAUAUAAAAGCAAAUAAAAUACAAUUAAAAUUAAUUAAAAUCUUAUGUAUUUUUAAAUUAUUAAUUUUUAUAUAAAAAAUGAAAAAUAGUAUAAUGAAUUUAGAAGAAUAUAUAAAAAUAAUGUAUUAACUUUAAAUCUUUUUUUCUUUAUAUAUAUAUUUUCCCUUCAAUUUUCUAAUACCAACACAUAAUAAGGUUAAUGUCUUCUAGCCAACCAAUUGUAAGUCAAUUUUCAUAGAGCUUUUUUUUUUUUUUUUUUUUACAUGCCACCAAGUAGUUAUAUAAGCAUUUUUGCAUGUUAUUGUUAUCCAACAUACAAUAACUAUAACAUCCAAUUAUUAUGAACAUGAACAAUAAAAUUAGAUGCAACUAACUAUUUAGUGUAUAACAAGAAGUUGGUGAAGUAAUUCAUCCUAACAUGAUUCAACAAUUUUUGUUUAUUUUUCAAGAUUAAUUAUAACAUACCCAUUCUAUUAAAGUUGUUGAGAUAUUUGAGCAAAACUAAAAAUCAACAUUAAUUCAUUUUAUACCCACAAGAGAAAUAAGAUUUGUUUUUUUGUUUGAUAAUAAAGUAGUUGUAGUUAUUAAUGAUAAUUUUGAUCCUAAUUUAAUAGGUAUCCAAAAAAAAAGGAAAAAUGCAAGUAAACCAAUUCUUAUCUAACACAAUUAUUACCACCUUAAAAUCCUGAGGGGUAGCUCAGUUGAUCAGUUCGAGUCCCUUUAGGACCAUGAAAAGCUUACCCGAUGGUUCACCUUAAGAAAAGCAAAGCAUUUAUAUAAUUCAACUGGUAGUUGAUAAGUCUUAGAAAGGGUUUUGCCAUCAUUGGCUUCUCAGUAAAGGGCAAAUUUGGGUUGUGGCUGACAAUUAUUGAAUUUGUGAAGAAAUAUGUGAAGAAAGGAAACAAAAAGAGUUGAGGACAGAAUUCUUCAAUUAAAAAAUGGUUAGCCCAUGAACCCAUUCUUCAAACAGUAAGCCAAUGAGCCAAUGAGCCAAAAAGAAAGAAGAACAGCUGGUUUCAUCUUUUUAUCUUAAUGACUUUGACAACCCAUCUUUCUUUUAAAUACUUGUGACUUUGGAAUAUAAUUAAAAUGAAACUUUGGAAUGCCCACAUCUGAUUCACGGCCUUUUUACCUGUUUUCUUGUUUAACAUUUUUUUAAAUAUUAUAACAGAUGGAAAAACAUGAUUCUAACAGGCUGGAAAAUAGUGGAAGUUGGAACACCAACCAUAACCAAACUAUACCUUCCAUCUUUCUCCAACACUCGGAAUUAUUGAUACAAGUUGGUGGUUUUAUGAUUGUUUCUAUUGAGGGGACCCCUCUCCAUUUCCAAUUUCAAUGGAAAGGUUCUUCUUUCCCUACUUUUUUUUUUUGUUUUUCAAAUUCUUGUAGUUUUGUCUGUCUCUCUCAACAAAGCAAACUGCAAUCACUAAUUCAAAGAAAAGGAAUCCUAAAUGAAAAGAAAAGAAAGGAAAGGAAUGGUAAUUUAGGCUAUGAUGAUGCUCCUAUAUAAUGGCUGUAAGUCAAUAACAACACACUGGACCCGCCUCCUAUCUCAAAAGAUCACAAACCCAAAUAUCAUAUACUUCCAAAUUUCAAUUUGGUUCCCUGUUUAUAUCACAAUCUGUCCUAUAUCCUCUUAAUACAUCUAAAAUCUCUCUAUAUCAUAAAAAUAAUGAUGGAAAAAAAAAUUAAAAAGAAAGAAGGAAAAAAUGACAAAAAAAAAAAAACCUUGGUGCUGCUAUGGGUCCAUAGGAAUUGGCAGGACUGCACUUCUGGAUCCCCUUCCAUGGCCAAAAGAAAAGAAUGAUCUUCGGAAUCUGCUGCUGCAACCUUCACUAGGGCUGAAGUCACUGACAGGCCUGUUCUGUUGCAAAAUCUCUUGAAUUGCUAAAUACAGCUGCCUGUCGUUGGAUGAGUCCAUUGAAAAAGACCUCCUGAUGGGUUGGAUUGAGAACUGAUCAUCUUUGCCUCUAGUGUCAAUGCACUCAUCACCCAUGCUUGCAACAUGAUGAAACUUCCUUGCCUUUUUAGGCACAAUUCUCUGCUCUAGCUUCCUAGGUGAUGGACUAAUUGAUGGCGCAGAUAACUCUCUGGAAUUCAGUCUUUCUGGUGGCCUAAGCAGUGAUGAAUCAGCAGAACUAUCAUUUCCCAAUUCAAUUACUACAAAAUCUUCAUCCCCUCCUAUGUAAUUAUUGGCGUAGGGGCUUGGAUCUUGGGGGGAAGAGCUAGGAGCAAUGAUUUGGUGAACAGGAAACCGGGGUGUGGUUGAAAUGCUUGUUCUGCAAAGUGGGCAAUUAGCAUUGCUUUGAAGCCACACGUCUAUGCAAUCUAUAUGAAAUAUGUGACUGCAGUUUGGUAUGAUUCUUAGCUUCUCUUCUUCUUGAAACUCAUUCAAGCAAACCGCACACUCGCAAUGGCUUCUUUCUCCAAACUCUCUGCCACCUCCUUUCCUGAACUGGAAUAUUGGGAUUGAUCUGAUGACUGACUCGUCCAGGCCUCGACUCUCGAUUGCUGGGGAGUACACCAUUAAAGGGUCUUCCGGGUGCCGACUCCUUGAGAAAGAAAAUCGUCUCAGCAGAUCAAUCCGGUGCCAAUUGAGGCAGCAUUUGAUUACAAAGAUGUAGUAGCUCACCAGCAAGAAAGCAGUGGCCAGGAUUCCUAUUACGGCAAUGGCUAUAAUGGGGAAACUGGUGUCCGAGGAAUGAGAGGGAGAAGGAAGCACUGAGCUCGCCUGGCUUUUGAUGGGAGAAAAGGCUUGUGAUCCAUGGAUGGAGGAGUCUGUGCUCACAAGAUCCAUGAGAGAGGCUAUGAAAAACAUUUAGAAAUGAGUCUAUUCGGAUCUUCAAUUCACAGAAACAUGCAAAUGCUAGAAUAAAAUCGACAGACACUCAGAUAUAGACCCUACAGUUGUAAUGCAGCAUACCAUAAAUGUGAUUGAGUGAGUGAGGCUGAAACAGCAAAUGGGUCACUUCAAGAUCUCAACAAGACAGAAAACCCAUGUUGAAUUCACCAGGAGAGUAUUGAAAAGGGAAAAAUUAAGGACAUAUAGCUGUAUUGAAAGUUGAAACAAAUGCAGAAACAUAGAGAAGAGAGAGAGAGGGAGAAAACCCAGGAGGGUUGAAUGAGAGCGCUGCUGGGGAAGACAUCAAAACGCUUCAAAUUCAAUGAGAAUCUGUUGGGGACCUCUUUAAGAGGACUGCACAAAGCCUGAGCGUAGGGUACGUGGUUGGUUGGUGAAUUUCUCGGCUUCCAAAAGAGAAAUUUGGUGAGAAAAUUUUCAAGUCUCUUGAUUAUAGUAACGUAGCGUUUAUUUUAAUUUUAUGUAACCGAAACUAAUGGGCUGGUUCAAAAAAAUAAAAAAUAAAAAAAGGAACUUUCUAGGAUAGGCCAGCAGUCCACCGUUGGUCAUGUGGUUUCUUUUGCAUGUCCACAUCUUCCAACUAGUGGAGGUCCCUGUCACAACAGUAAGAAAACACCCAAUUGAAUAAAAGUAUGAACUUUUGGCUCCCAAUAUUACUUAUGCCCUCAUUCAAUACCUCAAAUAAAGCAGAGAUUUUGUGUCCCAACUUUUAUGAUUUCAUUUCAUCUUACUUCAAAUGCUAAUGACAAAAGUCCAAGUAUAUUCUGUAAUCACCCACACCCCAAUAGUUUUGAAUCACACUUGAAAUAGUUCCCAUGCUUUCUUAAUAAUUUAGAUAAUUAUUUACAGAAAAAAAAAUUCAGAACAGGAUGAUAAUCAUUUUGUGAUAGCAUGGAAGAAACUUUACUAGCCACUUUGGCCCCAUGAAGUUGAGUACUUGAUGCCAAUUAAUGGCAGGGUGGAAAAUAGAGAAAAGGGAUCAUAGUCAAAUCUAGAGUACAAGGCAUUGAAUCUUUGUUAAUAAUUAACAAAUGGGUAAAGCAUGGGUCACAGGGUCUACAGUUUGGAUUGCAAAAACCUCAGGCUUCUAUAAAAAGCUCAUCCAUUAUCAAUCAUCAAUCUGAAAGCCAGAAAGUCCAAGGCACAUGCAACCCACGACAGGGGUAAGAUUUCUGCAUCAUGUCCCUGAGUUGCAUUCACAUCAUAUGUUUCCCUCCGGGCCGUUCCAAUUUGAAAUCUCAUGGAAAUCUUCAAGAGCAAGGCUACAGAGUUUAAGAUAAUACUAGGGGUGGGUCCUGAUGGGAAAAGAGGUAGUGUAGGAUAGUCAAUAAAGGGCAUGUGUCUCUGGUGUGAAGUCAAAUCCAGUGUACCAUCCUCAAUGGAAAAUUUAGAAAUAGAACCGACACUCUACAGACUGCCGUGUUGACAGAUUAGAGAAAGACAAACCCACUUACACUUGCCUCAAAACCCAGUCCUGCCAUUUCAAAGGCAAAAAAAAAGGGUUUCUUUUUAUAGUCAAAGGUUGAGGCCUGGCCUGGCCUAGCAAAGAAACUUCACCUACUCUUUUCUUAUUUUUCAAAUUAAGGCCAUUCAACUUUUCCUGUUUGCAGGCUUGCUGCCAUAUCUUACUCCAAAAAAGGUGAAAACCCAAAAGAAAAAGAGUGUUUGCUUCAAUGGAAAACUCAUGUUUAAUAAAUUCACCGCACGAGUUUUGUUCCAGCUUUUCCUAUGAAAGCUGUGAUGCGUUUGGUAUGAAGUUGAUUUUGUUCCUAAAAAUUUUGAUCUUGGCGUGGAAGGCAACUUUUUCCUUUUCCCCCUUUUUCUUUUUGAAAAGUUCGGCAUUAGUUACCAAAUGUCCUUUUACUUGCAUGUAGGACAGCGGAAGCAUUACACAUCGCAGCAAAAUCCCAUUUACCCGAAUUUUCCACUAACUCUUUUUAUUUUUUACCAUCAUUUUUUAAUAGAAGUGAUGCACUCUUCAAAUUACAUGAAGCUUUUAAGAAGGUAAUAACCCGUUUCAAAGCGAACUUAACCUACAGAGUAUGUUUUAAAAAUAUUUAGGUAUUUGAUAAAAUUUAAAAAAUAUUUUUUAAAAUCUUUAAAAUGAUUUGUAAUAUUGAAAAUUUAUUUAUACUUUUUUUAAUAAAAAAACAUUUUAUAGGUAAUUUUUCUAAAAUACUUUUAGAGAAAAUGUCUUCCCUUCACUAUAAAUAUUAUAUACUAUCAAAUACACUUUAAAAAUCUGUUUAACAAUAAUUUUAUAAAGUGUUUUUAAUUUUAAAAAUAUUUUUAAAAACAAAUUAAAUUUUUGAUAAAAUUUAAAAAAUCUUUUUAAAAAUUUUGAAAAAUAUCUCGUAAUAUUAAAAAAUAUAUAUAUUUAUAAUGUUUUUUAUAUAAAUACUCAAAAUUCAUUUAAUAGUGAUUUUAGGAAAUGUUUUUAAUAUUUCUAAUACUUGAAAAUUUUUUAUCAUUUAAGUAUUAAAAAUAUUAAAAACACUUUAUAAAAUCACUUUCAAAUGGACUCUUAAUGAUUUUACUAAAAACACUUUUCAUAGAAAACAUUUAUAAAAAAUAAUUAUGAAAUACACUCUAAAUUAAGUAAAAGUUGUUUUUAACAUUACCACUAUUUAUUAAUAGUGCAUUUGUUUAAAAUAUUUAUAUGAAAAAUUCAUUAGGGUGGGAUAUAAAUAUAGAAGUGUUUUUCUUUAUAUAUUUUUUAUAAUAAAAAAUGAUUUUUGAAAUUAUAAAAUUUGAAUUUAAGAAUCAUUUGAUAAUAAUUUUUGUUAAAGCACCUUUAAUACGUGGUGCUUCUAUUGAUAGCGCUUUCAUUUCUAUGAAUGGCUAUAAAUUAUAUUUGAAUAAAUUUUUUAUAAUGUAUUAUAUAAUAAAAAAAAAGUCAUUUUUAAAAAAAUUAUACAUUAAAUGAUUAUUCAAAUAGUAUUUCCUAAAUUUUAUUAAACAUUUUUUUCAAAAAAAAAAAAAAAGUUUUCAAAUACUAGAAAACGUUUUUAAUCUCUCACACGAUCACAUCCAAACAAGUCCUAAUGCUACUCCUAGAAACACUCCAAAACAAAAGUCUUCCUCUAUUAAUGUUCAUAAAAUCCACAUAUAUUCUUCCAUCGUUUUUUCAAAAUUCAAAAUCAUUUCUAAAACAUCAAAUCAUGUUCUUUGGAUUGGCUGACUUGUUUUUUGAAAAUAGAAGGCUCAUUAUUGACGUCCGUUGACUUCAUAACCCAGUCUUGAUCUCUUGAUGGAGGGCAUAAAUGUAAAUUGGACGAAACCCUAGGGUGCGCUAGAGUGUAGAGGAUGAAAGGUUGGAAAAAGGAUGAGGUGGGGGUGUAAUAAAGAGGAGGGUUGGGAGAAUGGGACAUGUGUAGGUGAAGCAUUAAAUUCAAGACUAUGCUUACCAACAACAUAUAAAUAAAUAAAUAAAUAAAUAUAGGAACAGCACAUGGGGUGAGUAGGAGACAUCAGAAGAUGUGAACAACCCCUUGUCAGUCCAAUUUGCGUCUUUUAUCUACUCUAUUAUCUAUAUCGAUUUUCGUAUUUAUUUAUUUAUUUAUUUAUUUUUACCAUUUGAUUUUGCAUGGAUGUCGAAGGGUUUAUUGGCUGCCACGUGUAGGGUUAUGGUCAAGAUCACGUGGGGUGCCUACAUGGGAGUCACGUGAGUGCAUGAGGCAGGCUUGAAUUGCAGGAGGAGCAGGAGCAGAGCAGUGGCUGUUGUCUUAAGACUUUGCUCUCUUGGUGGAACUGCAGCUUAAGCAGCAUCCACGUGUUGUCACGUGCAAUGCGAGCCAUCCACACCACCAGUUUCUUUUUAGUGAUUUUCUAAAGUCAGUUAAGGUUGCAGUCAAUACCUUCAAAUGUUGACAGAGUUAGGGAUCUUUGUUAAAUGGAUUUUAUUAAGAUAUUAGUAAGUUAAUUAAUUGAGGGUCAACAUAACAGAUGGGUCGGGUUGGGUUGAAUCUGAAUUUAAAACGAUUUAAUUUAUGUUUAAUCAAAUUUAACAUUUAACUCGAAGCACUCAACUUAAGUUUAAUUGAAUCUUAGUUUUCAAAACAUUAUUUAAAUUUGGGUCAUUUGGAUUAAAGUCAAAUGGGUUAGAUUAAUCGGGUUAUAUGGUUCAAAAUCCACUUACCUUAUUUUUUAUACAUUAAUAUUAAAAUUUAAAUAAAAAAUAUUAGAAGAAAUUUCAAACUUGGGAUUAGUUGAUUGUAGCCAUGCAUUUGGAUGUUGGUAUUCUUGUUUCUUGUCUUGUUUCCAAAUACCCUUUCAAAUCGCUUUGUUAUUCAAUAGCAUCCUCCCGAUCAUUUAAAAAUUUAAAGAGCAUUGGUAUGAUGGAGGAAUUCAGAAAUUUUAGUUGAAUAAGUAAAAUUUUUCUCUCAUAAAACCAAAUAGCCUCUAUAGCUCAGUGGUAGAGCGUCAGUCUUGUAAACUGAAGGUCUGUAGUUCGAUCCUGCAUGGAGGCAACUUUUUAUAUUUCAUGAUCCAUUAUGCUCUAGUGAUUUAGUUUUCAUUAUAAUUUUAGAUUAAAAAAUUACAUCAACAUUUGAUAAGUUGGUUAUGACUUUGAUAUAAGGAUGAAACUAUCAAUAAUAUAUAUAAAUAUUUUGACACAAAAUAUCUAAUAUAUUAAAAAAUUAAAAAAAAACUCUAAAAAACAUUAUAAAAUUAUAUAUAUAAUUUAUCAUAUUUAAUAAUAAUAUCUUCUACCCUAAUAAAAAAUAUAAAUUUUAUAAGCAUACAUUUAUUAUUACAUUGUAUUAUAUAUUAUUUUACAAGAAUAUUAUGAUAACAUGUCUAAUUUUAAAAUAUAUUUAAUAUUAAAAUUAUCAUCAAUUUUAAUUUAAAUGUAUUUAAUGAUAUCAAAUAAUAUAUAUAUAUAUAAUUUUUUAAUAUUUAUAUAUUUUUAUAUUUAAUAAAUAUAUAAAUUAUGUAAAAAAAAAAGACCUAUUAAGAAGAUUAUGUUUUUAUAUUUGGAUCAAAAUUAAGUUUUUCCGAUAAAAUAUAUGAAACUAUUGAUAAAUUAUUGAUUGAAACGUGAAAAAAAAAAUUCAAAAAAUAGAUGAGAUAUUAGUAAAAUAUCCGAAAAUAUUGAUUGAUGAAUAUAUCAUUUCAAAUUUUGCAUCAACAUCCACAUAUGUUGGAUAUAUUGGCCAAAUAUAUUUAAACCUUGUUUCCAUGAGAAGUCUUUCCUUCAACAAUUUCAAAAGGUUAAUGAGGUGGUUUCCAAGAGAUGUGUGUAGGGGUCUCCAACGGGCGGGCCGGGCCAGCGGGCUUUUUGAAAUAAGCCAAAAUGGCUUUCAAAAAAGGGAAGGGAGAGGAUUUAAACCCCUUCCUUCAUGCUUAAAUUUCAAGGUUCUAACCAAUUGAACUACAUUCCUUUAAUGUUUAUUAAUUGAGUUAGUUAUAUAUAUAUAUAAAAAUAAAGUAUAUUAUUUUUUAAAGGGGCGGGCCUACGGGCUGGGCCGGGCCGAAAGCGGGCCACGGGCCACGGGCUUUUUGGAGACCCUUGGAUGUGUGCAAUCACAUUUGGUAUUAUAGGUGACAAAGUUUGAUAAAUGAGUAAUUAUUAGGUUAACUUAUAAAAUCCGAAUUUGAUUUAAAUUGAUUCAUUUAAUAAUCCCAUUUAUUUACCCAAUUAAAACUUUAAAUUAUUUAACUUAUAUUUAAUUUAAUUAAAAUUUGUUUUUAAAUAAAUAGAUCAAUUAAAACAUAAACAUAUUUGAUUGAAACAUUAAUAAUAUAGAUUUAAAUAAGACCUAAUUCAACCUAACGAUCAAAUAGAAAUAUCUAAUUAUUAAAUAAAUUAAACAUGUUACUUGCUUAAUAAUUAUGUGACAUUUGAAUUUAUGCUUUUGAUAUAAUUAUUAUUUAUAUCAGGUUUAUAUAAUGAAAUAUCUAGACUUUGACACCAGUCAACAUUGUCCACCAAUACAGAUUGCAACUCUUAUAUGCUACAUCACAUCAUGUUGAAGGAAGAGGAUGACGUUCAUUGGCAGCAGAGCCUCCAAUCAUAAGGAGCUUGAGCAAAUUCAAUCUCAACACUGAAAUUCACUAGAAAAAAAGUUUAUUAUUGAUACUUCAUUUGUGUAAAAGCAUUAUAUUUCUUGCAUCAAUCGUAAAGCAUGACAUUCCAGUAGGUACGGAAGAGAAAAUUUGUUAUGAAUUGAAAAAUCUGUCAAGCUUAAUUUGGAGGGCCCAAAAUUGACACGUUUAAGAGCUCUAUCAUUAGCCCAAUGAUAAGAGUCCAUUUCUUGAGUUUCAAGGAAGGCCCAAGUUUAACUUAGAGGGCCCAAUCUUGGUACCUUCUAAAAGGUGCAAACUUUGGCCCAAUUAUAAAAGCUUAUCCUUGCUUCCUAAGCAUCAAUGAUAUAUUUGAUCGAAGUAUUCACAUAACUAUCACGAAAUGAAAUGAAAUGAAAAUGUAUAAGUAAAUGAUGAUUUUGAGUUAUUUACUGACAAUAAAGAAUUAGGUGGUGUUUGUUUUUUUUUUUUUGGCUUUUUACUAAAAGCAAUUUGUUUUCAGAAUUUAGGUUAUUUAUUUUUCUAUUUUUUCAUGACUUAUUAUAAACUUUUUACUAAAUAAGAAAAUCCAAAAUAUAUAGUUUUUUCUAAAUAGAAAAAAUAACAUAUUGGUUUUCUUUUUUUUUUACUUUUUAAUAUUUAAUAGAAAUAAAAUAUUAUAAAAACAAACAACCUAAUAUUUAACACUAUUAAGUAUUAAGGUUUUAUUUAGAAUUAAGUAAAAAAACAAACACUACCUUAAAAUGAAAAGUAUGUAUAAUGACCUUAUACAAAAAAAGUCUCAUUAUUUUCUUCCAAAGAACUCAUACUUUUGUUUUUCAACUAUUACUUUGUUUUUAUUUUUUAAAUAAUAUUUCAAGUUUUUUUUAAUAAUACCUUUCUCUUUAUUAGAUAAUUUUAAUGACUUUAAAAGUAUUUUAAUAUAUUAAUUUAUUAUAUAAUUUUAAUGAUUUAAAAAUAUUUAAAUGUUGAAAUAUUUAUUUUCAAGUCUAAUUUUAAUUAUUUAUUUUUUGAAGUAUUUAAAUAUAUAAUAAAUGUGGGAUUAUGUAAAUCUAGUUGUAAUUAUUUAUUUCAUUCUAUUCAUGUUUUUAGUUGAAUUUGCUCAAAAUUUACACCUCUUUAUUUAAAGAUCAUGGAUUAGUUAGGUGUCUUGAGAUUUUUUUUCUCUCAAGACACUACUUGUUACACUAGAAAAUAAUUUGUGGCUAUAUUUUUUAGGCAAAAAGAAUUAUAUGUUAAAACUUCCUUUAUUGACUAGUUUAUCAUAGGGUGUAGAGGAAAGUUUGUGAUGUCUUUUUAUGUCAACUUUGGGAGAAAAAUAUCACUUUAGCAUUUUCCUUAGAAAAUUUUCAUACAUAAUUGAUUUUGGAACUAUGGAGGAGCAUAAGUAGGGAUAGAUAAUUCGAUUUUGGAAAAAUUAUAAUAGCUUUUCAACUUGGUGUUAAUGAUAUAUUGUUUAUUUCUUAUUUUUUUUCCAUUUUAAUAUAUAAUUGGGGAUUUUAAACUUGUAGAACAAGGCUUUUUCAAUUGAAUUGACACGUACAUAUGAAAGUUCUCUUUGGUUGCUAAUCACAUUUUUUUUUCUUUUGCUUUUUGUUUUUAUCAUAAUGAAUAUUGAACUCGAAAUUCAGUUUUUAAAAUCUUAUGAUGUUUUAAAGUUUAUAAAUAUUAUUGAUUUUUAUAAAUGAUGUUAUUCAUAUCUUGGUAAAGACAAUAUUUUCAUAUCGGUCAAGAUGAUUAAUAACAUAUAAGUUCAUAAAGAAAAACCUAUUGAUUAAUGGAUAUUUAAUGAUUUUUAUUAGGAAUGUUUUUUAAUUAGUUUCAAUACUCAUCUUUUAGAGCAUACAUAUAGGGUUUUAGAUGCUACAUUGGUUUUCAGCUUGUGAUUUAAAUUAUUGAAGCAAAAAAUGAGGGUUUUGCUUUAUGGAACUAUCUAAAGGGAGGUGAAUUAGGCGGUCUUCCUUUUUAAAAUCCAAAAAUUAGAUUUUUAAUACUUAUAUUAGUUAUACAUGUGUUCAAUAAUUAAAACAAAGAACAAGUCCAUAAUUUACAUGUGAUGUGCAUGGAAAAACACCUACAAAUUCUCUCAAAUACUUUACAAAUGAAAAAAAAAUCAAGGAUCGAUCAAUCACAGAGCAACUUCACUAAAUAUGAAAACAUGACUAUACAAUUUUACUUGGAUGAGGUGCUACCUUCUCUUAAGGGUUUUUACACUAGCCAACAAUUACACUCACCUUCACUCUCACCAUGCACCUCUAUUGUGCUCCAUAGUAAACACUUUAAUGACUGUAGCAAGAUUGCGAUAAAUUACUGCGAUUAAUUUGAGAGUGUUGAUAAUGAACAAAAAAUAAUGAUAAUUAACUAGAGAGCAUAUGAUUUUGUAAAAACACCAAAAAGAGGCAUAGUUAUAAGUGAAAACUUUAAUGGAUUGGAUUGAAUAUAUAAUUGAAGUAUGAAUGAAAAAUUACCAAAACAAUGUUCAAAACCGUGCUAAUCAAAGCACAAUCACUUGAGUACUCUCAUGGGGCACUUGAAUGCUCCUUUUAAUCACCGUAAUGCUGAAAUUAAUAAUUUGUCUCAAAUUGUUUUUCCAAAACAUAAAGCAAAAUAUUAUAAAUUUAUAUAAUCAAACCCAAUUUCAUCUUAAAGCUAGCCUACUUAGUCUUAAUUCAUGUCCAAAAAUACUCAUACUUGUCAAAGAAUGAAUAUGGUAUAAACAAAUUCUUUAUUUUCAAUUAUAUUCAAUUAUUGAAAGAAUAAAUCGGUUUACAUACAUUUUGAACAAAGGUAUAUACACAUAGACUAAAUCAAGGAAAUGAGGAAAUCAAUCACAAUCAAAUCAAAAUCAAAUGAUAGGUUGAUAUCUAGGAGAAGGUUAAGUUAGAACCAACUCAUGUAUUCAAUAUUCCCCCUUAAGAUGGCAUAUGGAGAUCAUGAAUAUCAAACCUAGAAAGUAAGGGAUAUGAAAUAUCUAUACCAAGGGAUUUUAUGAAAUAUCAACCAAUUGUUGUUGUGAUUAAACAAAUUGAAUAAGAAUAAUUUCAUUUCGAAUCUUUUCAUAGAUCAAGUGACAAUCAAUUUCAACGUGUUUAUUCUGUUCAUGGAAAAUUAGAUUAAUAGCAAUGUAUAGAGUUGUAUUAUUGUCACAAUAUAGAUGCAUUGACCAAGGAUGAUGAACUCCAAAAUCUAUAAGUAAAUAUUGCAACCAAUGCAAGUAGUAAUCAUUAAAUAAUAUUUCACUUUUCUUCAUGAGUGUUAUAUCAUUGAUUGCUUUUUAGAUCUUCAAGAGAUUGAUAGGCCACCAAGUAAAAUACAAUACCCUAUAAUUGAACAUCAAGAUUAUGCACAAUAGGCAUGGAGGAAGGCAAAAGAAUUCCUUGACCUAGACGAUUUUUUAAAUAGUAUAACACUCAUGUACUUGUGAGAUAAUUGAGACUACAUUGGCUUGUCAAGAAUUUGAACAUAAUUAGCAAUAUUAAGCCCUAUCAUUAUGAGUCAAAGUAACUUCCCAAUCAAAUGCCUAUAAUAAGAAGCAUCCAACAAAGGUUCUCUAUCUAAUUUACUCAAUUCCAAAUUUUGUUUCCUAGGAGUUUUUAAAGUUACAUGUUCCAAGAAAACCAAAAUCUUUUAGUACUUCUAGAGCAUGUUUUCAAUAACUUAAAUAAAUCUCAUUCUUAAAAUAUGUCAUUUCAAUGAUGAUGAAGUACUUUAAUUUUCCAAUCUCUUAGUUAGUUUGAAAAUGCUAUAUAGGUUUUCCUUGACCACCUUAAUUCCUUUAAGAUCAUUCAUUGUAAUAAUUAUAUCAUAAAUGUAAACAAGAAUGAUUGUGAAAUAGUUAUUUGAGGCUUGAGCAAAUAAGAAGUAAUAUGUACGUCUUGGCUUGCUUGUAAACCAUAAACAUCAAUGUGAUAGAUAAUUUGGCAAACCAUCAACGUGAAGCUUGCUCAAGGCCAUAAAGGGAUUUUUUAACUUUGCAAAUCAUAUUUUUGGUUCUAGAUUUCCUACAAACUUGGUGGAAGCUGCAUGUAUACCUCUUUAUCUAAGUCUUCAUAAAGAAAAACAUCGUUGAUGUCAAGUUGGUGAAGAUGUCAAAUUCUAAUUAUACAAUAAUUAGGGGUGACAAUGUGUCUUAUCGUGUUGAGGUGAGAAAUAGUGAAAAUUUACUUAAUCCGACUAUGACCCGUUUGAUAAUCGUGUCAAAAUAACCUAACAUGAAUACAAUUAGUUUAUUUCAUGUAACAUGACCCUUUUAACAUGUUUAAUAAAUAUAUUAACUUGGAUUAUGUAUUAAUUGACAUGAAUAACUCAUUAACUUGAUUUCAACCCCUUAAACUCAUUAACACAAUUCCAACCCAAUAAACUCGUUAAUAUGAUUUAACUCAUUAAACUUGUUAAUAGGAUUAUAACCUCUUUAACCUAUUUAAAAUUUUAAAUUUAUAAAUAAUAAAAUACUUCUAGAAAGUUUAAUUUUUAAAAUUUGAACUAUAAUACAUGUAUGCACCAAUUUCAUGAAGUCCUGAAAAAUUAGCAAAAUUAUAGAAAAAUAAUAUAAACAAAAAUUUGUAUUAAAAUUAAUAAGUAUGGGCUACAAUAUUAGUCAUAGUACUGCUUAUUUCUGAAUGACUUUAUUAAAAAGCGAAGAAUACAUGUGUAGUUCUUAUGUGAUUUCUUAAACUUGUAAGGCGAUUUUAUAAAGUUUUUUUUUUCUUUGUGAAACCUCUUUUUCUAUGUGAAAUUGUUUUGCCGAUUUGAAAUCUUCAUUAAAGGAAGUUACUAUUAUUUAUAAUUGAAAUUAGAGAAUGAAAUGUGGAAUCCCCAUGAUUUAGUUGCUUAAUUCAAGGAAUUUGAUUAAUUGAUUUUGGUAACUUGUCUCAUAAAAUUUUCUAACAAGAAUAUUUAUUUUUAAUCUCUUUUAUUUCAAUUGGAAUAUUUGUUUCCUUUGUAAAUUUGUCAAUAGAAUAUUUAUUUAUUUAUUUAAUUCUCUUUUGACUACAAUGAGAAGAUUUGAUUUUGUUUGUAAGACUAAAUUUUAUAACCUUUCAAAUUUGGCCAAGUGACACCUUUUGAAUAUAUGUCACAUGUCAAAUGUGUGUGACUCAUUAGUUGUUGAACCUAAAUUUUCUUGAAUUAGAAAGCUAUACUUUUGAAGACUAAUUUAGUGAUAAUUUAAUUCAUUAAAUUUUUUUGGUGUCUACAGUAUAUUUAUAAUAUGAAAAGUAAAUUAAAAUUUUAAUUUUUUUACUUGUUUAUUAUUUUAUUUAUUAUUUAAUGAUAAAUAUUUUUAUUCUUUAUUGAAAUAUAUAAAAUUUUAAUUAAUAUUUUAAUUUUUUUAAUUUCUAUAUAUAAAAUAUAUAGAUUUAUAUGGUCUAAUUGAGUCAUUAAAAUAAAUAGGGUAAAUAACUCACACAUAAGUGAUGGAUCAUUCUAACAUGAUUAAAUUAACAAGUUAGAUGAAUUGAGUAGUCAAAUACAAACAUGAUUUGUUUAUUAAAUAAGUUAUAUGAAUUGAUACGAUUAUGACAUCAACUCAAUUAAACUUAACUCAAAUAAGCUUUGUCUUUUAUUUUAAGUUGUCUAGUUGUUCACACAAAUUUUCUCAAAAUAAAGAAAUUAUAUAUAAAAUUGUAAAUUUGAUUAUUUGAGGGGACCAUUUUCAAUACUCUUUUUUAAGUAAUCUGGUGUUUAAUUUUGAAUCAAAGGGGCUUUCAUUAACAAAUAAUAGACUGUAGUUUUCAUAUAAGAAGAAAUCUCAAGCCUUUUUUUCUUGAAGGAAUCUUUAAAUUUUCUUUGAUACUUUAAAAAAUCAAUCUUCUUUGAUUUUUUAAGAAAUCUUUGAAUUUUCUUAAAGUCUUCAAAAAAAAAAAAAAAAAAAAAACUGAGUUUAAGGAAUUUUUUUAAUAACUCUCCAAAUUUCUUUGAUAUUCCAAAGUGUCCUUUAGAAGGGGACAAAUCCUCUAUUUACAGGAUUGAGAGUUUUAUUUUAAUAUUAUCUCUUAAUUUUUAAGAAAUAACUCUCUUAUUUAUGAUAAUUACUAUUUAUUUUAUUUAUCAUAAUUAGUUGCCUAUGAUAAUUAUCAUAAUUAAUUUUUCUAGAGAUAAAUAAUUAUAUAUAUUUAAUUAAUCAUGAUAACUAUAAUAUUUAUUUAAUUUUUUAUUAAAUUAUUUUACAUAACAUAUCAAUAUAUAUUAUUAGUCAAUUAUUAACACCGAAAAUUAAUGAGUUGGCAUAAAAUUUAUCUCUCUAUAAUAGUAUCAAAGCGAGCCUUAAUAAUAACAUUGCUUAUAGUCAAUUUCACAUGCCAACUUUUUACUGGGCAUUGGCGAUUUCAAUUUUGAUAGUCCGGUUAGAAAAAGUAGGUAAAGAUUAUUUGAUGUGGUAGGUCAUUUCUUUCAUAAAGACGAUGGCGGUGAAUUCAUGAGACAGGUGAUAAAGGAGAGAUUCUUUCUUUUGGCUUUGGAAUUUUAAUGAGGUCCUCGAUCCUCAUCCAAAAUACACCUCUCCAAUUAUAAAAAUCUUAUUAAAAAAAAAAAGAUUUGACAUGUGCCUUUCGAACUGCUGGUUUUCUGUUCCAAAAAUGAGAAUGGUUUCAAGUGGAUGAAGGAAGGUGAAGAACCCUUGGUUUUGUUAAGCGAAAAGCCACAUGAUUAAAUAAACAUAAGGCGGCAAAGGCUGAAAAUUUAAAAUUAUACUAAGGAACCCACCCCACAGGGCGACUACACUUUUGGUGAAGCCACGAGAAUGAAAGAUAUCGAAGGUGACACCAAGACAUUAAGCAGCACCAAGGUUUCGAUAUAUUAUAAGAUGGGAUCUUAUGAAAGACGAUCUCUAAUCUCUCUCCAAUCUCUUCUUUAACCUUUUCUUACUUAAAUCCAUUUCCAUGGUAGGGCACAUGUCCAGCUGACCCUACCCCCUCACCUACCUAUACUGCUAUACCCUUUUGUAUAAUUUGAUAUGGAUUGGAAGCCACCCCAACAUCUUUCUAAUUGCUCGUAAAUGUUGAGGUGCCUUUCCAUUUUGAGGCUGCCCUAAUGUGUGGCUGAAGUACGUAGGAAAAAAAAAUUGUGAUACAUGCACUGACGAAUCAAAUCCCAAUGUCAAAUUAUUAGACUCACCUGGUUCUUAAAUUAUUGUGAAUGCCGCUGGCCAUGGAUAAAUGGAAUUAGUGCGUGGCUUAAUGAAAAUUUAUUUUGAAAGGGAUAUUAAUUUGAGAGAAUUUUGGCUGAUACUUGGAGUUGAACGUAAGCAUAUAUGACCUCAUUUCGGGUGUGAUAUUGUGCUUAUAACGAACCUUUCGUUCUUUCCAAUUCCAGUGGGUAUUAAAUAAUUAAAGAAUUCAUGGUUCGAAGGCGAAAGGUAGAAGACCAAAAAGGGAUUACAAAGCCAUCGGCUUGACCAUCCAGAUGCAAUGGAUACAAACUUUGGACUCUAUCGAAAGUUCUUUGGGCACGUGCCCAAGUGUCCUACCCAUAUGAUAAGUUACACGUGGCUAAUUGCGGACCGGUUGCUCGUGCUAAACAGGGUACUUUUUCUACGCAUAUAAGAUGUUUCACUAGUGGGGCUUCACCAUGCAAACUCAUGGAUGAAGACCCUGAGGCCAAGAUGAAGGAACAGAAAGAAGGCGGAGGAGAGGUUCGGUAUCGAGGCGUUCGGAGGCGGCCAUGGGGGAAGUUUGCUGCGGAGAUACGUGACUCGACUAGGCAUGGAGCGCGCGUCUGGCUCGGGACUUUCAAUUCUGCGGAGGAGGCUGCAAGAGCAUAUGACCGAGCUGCUUAUGCCAUGAGGGGUUCCUUGGCGAUUCUCAACUUCCCUAAUGAGUAUCAUACACCCGGCACGGCUAGCUCUUCAGCUUCAUCCUCAAUGCCCGAAGGUGAUCAGCAGGGAAAACAAGUCAUUGAAUUGGAGUACUUGGAUGAUAAGCUGCUAGAGGAUCUUCUCGACUCUGAAGACAAAAAGAACAAGAAAACCUGAAGUUUCUGCUGCCUCGAAUCCCCUGAAAUCUAGUGCUUCAUCGAAAAAAAAUCCCCUCGCUCCUGAUUAACAACAUUUUUAUUUUAGUCAAUGAAUGUGUUCUCGGAUCAUUAUAAGUAUUUCUGCCGAAGUCCAUUGAUUUUUGGAGACUGAAAAAUGUCAGAAAAAUUGGUGCGAACAGGUUUACUCCUUUCUAAAUUAUGCAAUUGAAGUAUUUGGAUUAGUGCGCAGUGUAAACAUCAAGGAAAGCAUGAUCCACUAUUUUAAGGAGCCUAAGUGCUUUCCCCUUUACUCUUUUAGGAUGUCUUUUCAGUGAAGAAAGUUGGGAGACCACCACUUACCCUUUUGAUUGGUAUAUAACUGCCAACUAAUAACUGGACUAACAUUUGGCCCGUCUGGCCCUACUUCUUUGACUUUGUUGUUAAUUUAUAACUUUAUGUGAAGUGGGGGCUGUUUGGGAAUGUGUGAAGCAAGGAUUUGAGCCGACUUCGCCUAAUCUGAUUCUCCAUAAGUGACUUCAUUUUAUCAUAUUGGUGUUUUUUUUCUUCUUCUUUUUAAAUGGCUGGGGAGGAGGGGAUUUGGGAGGGAUGCAAUGCCAUGGUUGCAUGCUGGAUUAUCCUUCCAAAUGAAACAUCCAUUUGGUUUCUAGUAACUAAUUGCAAACAAUUAAAGAGAAUAAAAUUUUAAGAUGAUUAAACAAUAAGUACCUAUGUCCAUGAAAAGGAGAGAAGUUCACUCAUGGGUGUUCAUGAAAGACAUCACAAAGAACCAUCAAUAUGAGAAGAAUCCUGAUACAAUUAACUUUCAUGCAUAAGAAAAGACGCUCAAAAAAGAAUAAUGCUUACAAGGAAAGAAUCUCACUACGAUCAACUGAAAAAAUAUUCCAAUUUAAUUGGAAAUCCUUACAUGGGAAGAAUAUCAAUAAAAUCAACUAAAAAAAUAUUUUAAUUUUAUAUCAAAAUAUUUGUGAUUUAACCCGUAUCAUUUCAUCAUGACUUCUUAUAAAUUUUGUUCCUUUUUAUCAACACCACCCCUUGAGUUGGAGCAUAAAUAUUUAUUAAGCUAACUUGAACAAGAUCUUGAGAAAUUUUGUCGCAGGAUUUGUUUGCACUUUUUUUUUUCAAAUAAAGUCAUAAUUAACUUUAAUAUGUUUAAUCAUUUCAUGAAAUACUAGAUUUUAAGCAAUGUUGAUAGCAUACUUAUGCCUGAAAGCUUUAUCCCAAAUCACAUGAGUACAUGAAGUGAUUGCAUCAUUAAUGGUAGUAUUAUUACUUUAUAUUCAACUUCUCCACUUGAUAGGAUGCAUGAAAGCAUUGUGCUUUCUUCUGUUUCAAGUAAUAAAGAUUAUCACCAAGAAAGGUGCAAUUAAUACCUAGUAACAGAGUACCUAGUGGUAGCAUGCACCUAUCCACUGAACUUGUACUCGACUCUAUGAGUGUACGUUACAUAGUCCUUUUUUCGAAGUCUAAAUGUCCCUUGAUAAAACCUUCUAAUAUUUGAGGUUUUGGUAACAUUCAUGUAUCAAUGAACAAAUUAAUUUACUAGCUAAACUUUAAAAUUAGGCAAUGUUUUUCAAUGGGUGAUCAAGAUCUUGGAAUUUUCAAUGUUGUUUGAAUAGCUUCCACACACAAGCAUAUUUUCUCCUAUUUAGGAAUAAUCCCUUUUUUGAAGGUGUGAUCUUUAUGCUCAAAAAAUAAAGAUACUCAAAAAUUUAAUAUUGACCUUCUCGUGAAGGAAAAGCUUUAUAACUAAUUUUUUUUGUGCAUUAUAUAUAUCCUCAAUAUAGACUUUAAAAAAAAAAGAAGUAACUCCCUCUACAAAGAGUGAAGAGUCAAUUAAACUUUUUUUUUUUUAAAAAAAAGGAACCAAUUACUCGUAAAAGUAAUGAUUAUUUUUACAUACCAAACUUGAGGAGAUUACUUAAGAUCACAAAAGUUUUUAUUAAAUUGCAAGCUAGAUGCAUUUGAAACGAUCGUUGAUGUCUUAGCAACACCUUAUGUAACUCAUCAAUCUUUAUGUAAAAAUGCAUUUUUAACACCCAUAUAAAAUAAUGAUCAAUCCUAAUUUAAUAGAAACAAAUGGUAAUACAUGAAUAUCAUUCAUAUUAAUGAGAAAAGUAAAUAUUGAUUUAUAAUCAACUUCUUAAGUUUGUGUCAAUGCCUUAAUCAUUAGUUUAACUUUGUCAUUCAAUGAUACCAUCAUUACGACAUUUAAUUAACUUAGAUUUGCGUAAAUCCCUUAAUCACUAGUCUAGCUUUAUGUCAUUCAAUGGUACCAUCAUUAUGGUAUUUAAUUGAUCUUAUACCCCCAAUUUGUAUACCCCAUGUUUUUCUUAAUUUACCAUACAUCACUUAACAAUGUUCCAUGCAUGGAUUUUGUUAAGUGCCUUAAGUUCCUUUUGCAUAGCCUUUCUCCAAAUUGGAUGAGGAUUGGCUUCAUUAAUGUCAUUAGACUCAUGAUAUAUGGAACUCAAACAAUUGUUAAGUGAUUUUGUAUAUAUAUAAAAAAAAAAUUGUAAUUAAUGUGGUAGGCAUAAAAAUCUCACAAAUGAGGAUUGAUUAAUUGUUAUAAUUGAGCAACAUGCUUGAGGCUUAGUCACAAUACUAGAACUUGAAGUCAGACAUUCUCUUCAAAUAAGGACGUAUAUACAUUAUAUUGGAUCUCCAUUAAACAAGUAAAGAACUAUUUAGUAGACAAUGAAACCUCAUUGAUCAAUGGUGGUAGAGAGACACAUGAUGACCAGACUAUUCCCCUGGAAAUGAGAAUAAAAAAUAUCAUUAGCCGCAAAAAUCUCAAAAAAAUUUAGAUAAUGGGAUAUAAAGAGUUUAUGAAUUUUACAAUCAUAACUCUUAUACUGGUUUAAGUGGUAGAGUAAUCAAGAACACAAAACGAGUUUGAUGAGUGGUUGAGAUAUGAACAAAGCAAAGAUUUCCAAAGACACCAAAAUCAGAAAUCUCAAUUUUUGGGCUAAGGAUUUCAAGAAGAAAUUUAAAAUUAACUACAUGACUAGAAAAUUUGUUCAUCAAGGAAAUAGAAGUAACGAUAUCAUAACAUCAUAAUUAAUCAAUAUUUUUAAUAACAUGCAUUUGGAACAUGAUAUACCGGCUUUCUAAUAAUCAAUGAUUUUUGGUUCAACCACACCAUUUUGUUUUGGGAUGCCAAUACAACAAGUUUAACGAANNNNNNNNNNNNNNNNNNNNNNNNNNNNNNNNNNNNNNNNNNNNNNNNNNNNNNNNNNNNNNNNNNNNNNNNNNNNNNNNNNNNNNNNNNNNNNNNNNNNAUGUAAGUGCCAAAUUAGGUAGUGUCGACAAUGAAAUGGAAAUUUUGGAAUAUAGAAACAACCUCAUUUUUAUGUUCUAAUAAGUAAACCUAUGUAGCAUAAGAAUAGUCAUUAAAAAAAAAGGUAACAAAAUGUUGAUUUCCAUCCUAUGGAUCAAUUAGGACACAACCCCAAGGUAAACUAAUUUGAAAGUUGCAACAAAAAUGGAAAGAGAUGAAAAAAUAAUAGAGGAAUUUAAGGUUGUUUCAAAAUUUCAAGACAUGCUAAGAAACACAUGAGAUUAUAGAUGAUUAGGUAACAACCUUGGUUAAGUAUAUUCAACAUAUAUAUCCCACGAGGAUAAAUAUCUUCACUAAACUUUUCCUAUUAUUCAAUCCCCUAAUACCAUACAAGUGAAAAAUUAAUGUCACGGUCAAAAAUUUUAAUAAGCUUCCAAAGAGAUAAUAAUUUUGGGGAAAAAAACAACCUAAGAAACCUAUGAAUUGAGAUAAUUUAGGAAAAAACUAAAUGUUCGUUAGCUCUAGAAGGGAAUUGAAGCUCAUCAUCAAUAAAGAUUGUUGCUAUCUCGAAUAAUAUCAAGUAAACCAUUAAGAUCGCUAUUAAUGGUAUGAUUAGCAGCACCAAUUAUCGACAAAAAAAUUAUUAAAAAUAUAAGAAAUGAGAGCUUUAAGAUUAUCUAAUUGAUUUGUAAACCUAGGUAAGUGAAUCAGUAUUACGUUUUGUUAAGGAAGCUUAGAUCCAAUUGGUAUCAUUCACCAAGUUAUUGGAUUAAAUUACACUAUCAAACUUUGGCUUUAAAUGAGAAUGAAGAAUCUAACCACAAUCCUUAUUGGGAUUAGAUAUGUUAUUGCAAUAAUGUUUACAAUCGGAUGAGUGCUAAUUUCUAUUGAAAUCAUGAAGCAAUCUCUGAUCAUUGGUCUUCUUUGUAGAAACAUGAGCAUUGAAUUUAAAAUUAAUAAUUGUUACUUGGGAUUCAACCUUCAUAAUCAUUGCCUGGGUUUCCUAAUCACUUUCAAGAAUUACUUAUAUAGUGAAGGCACUCGAAACUAAUCAAAUUUGUCCUCUUAUAAAGUUGUCAUAUUCAAGCUUCAGAAUAGCCAAUAAUUGAAAAACUUAUCAUACUCCGCAAUUUGUUGAAGAAUAUUUGGGUCUAUUGAAGGGGACAAUAUAGGGAAUAUUUGUCCCAUAUGCUCAAAAUGUUCAAUUAACAAAGUGUUCUGUAUGUUUAGGGAUUUGUUAGCUUUAAUUACACAAAACAUUAGCAGUUUUAGAGAAAAUUAAUUUUUUUUUGCAAUCUUAGGUUCCAUGAAAUUAAAAAGCCAAUAACAAGUCAAUAUGGCUUGAGACCCAGUCAUCAUAUUCAAAGUCAUCCAACUUAGAAGCAUUCAUUUUGCCACUAACAUGUGCUAAUUUCCAUUUUCUAUCUUUCAAGAGAAAAAGACUGCUCUUAACCAUGGCAAAUAAUUGAACCCAUUAAGAAGAUUGAGGAAAGUAUCAUAUGAGGGUUGUCAUUUUCCUCCAUGACAAAGAAAAAGCAACAGAGAAAAACUCAUAAUAUUAGAAAGAGAAUGAAAGAAAUUGAGUCAUAGAUACACACAGAAGAAUCCAAAAAUAAAGCAAUAAUACAACCACAAAUAUGAGAAGAAGCUCAAUUACAAAGAAAGGAACUCAAUACAAUCAACUAAAAAGCGUUCCGAAGUUCAUACGAAAAUAUUCAUAAUGUGAAGAUCAUUUCAUGAUUCCUACAAUUUCUUCCUUCUACCAGUCCACUCCAUACAAGGUUUGAUCAACAACUUCUUCAUUGAUUUUCUGGUCUCUCUCCGGUGUAUCAUAGAGCAUUUUUGACAUGUUUCUGCAAGAUACACUUGUUAACUUUAAGCGACAUAAGUGCAAAAAAAUAAGAUCAUGUUGUAUUGCCUGUGCUUCCACUCUGCCUUGUUUAGUACUAUUAUGGAGCAGUACUUCCAUAUAGAACCAGUGAUCUCCAGUUCAUUAUGUUGCCUUCUUUAAACUAACUUUAAUUAUCUAUACAUAUAAAACAAAGUGGUCCCAUCAAGGGGCUAAAUCAAGAAUCAAGUGGGGCGAACAGGAAACAGUGGCAUCAAUUUUUAAGUCCAUAAGCUUUAAUAAAAGGAAUAAAACCAAGGAUAUGAAUAUGUUAUUUUUUCAUUUGUUCAUGCACUGGAAGAUCUUUCCUCUUCAAGCAUUGAACCAGCAUCCUUCUGUGCAAGUUGCUGUCGGAACCUUCUAUAAUUGUCAGAAGUCUGUUUCUGAAAUAUACAGAUAAAACUUUUAGCAAGUCUUGACAUUGCUCAUCACUAGGACAUUGUACUAGGAUACCAAUUCAUCUAAUUAGGGUUAAGUUGGCAUCUCGUACACUAUUUUUUAUUUUUCCUUCAUCUUUUGUUCCCAUUUGCAGUGGAAGUGGCACUUAGAAUAUCUGAUCAUGAAGAAUUAGCUUUCGGUGAGAUGAUACUAGGUCAAUUGCCAUUAUCUUUUUGAGUUACUGUGCGAGCAAUCUUGAAAAUAUUUUGGGAUAAAUAGAAUUUGUGCUUAUCAUAAACAUGCUAAACAUCCAAAUCAAGUGCUUUUACUAUUGAUAUCAAAUCAGUAAUUGAUUUUAACCUUUAUGCUUAUCUUUCAGAUUCUCAAUUAUGUAUCUUGAAUAAUGAUAUUAAGCAGAAAUCAUGAAUUGAAUUGCUUUAAUUAACUGUGCCUUAUCAAGCUUGUCAGCAGUGCUAUUGCUACCGCGAAUCAAAUUCGCUGUGCUUCCCGCCUUCUCCAAAUAAGCCACAAGCCCAAUUAUAUCCGCCCUCCUCCCAUCUCCAAGGGAUCAAAAAAUAAAAUGACUUCAAUCAAUUUUCAAGUUUUCCAUCUUGAUCAGUAGACCACCCGGCAUGAAUGUUACCCUCAGUUUAGGAAUAGGAAUUCCUUUUACUAAUCAUUUGGCACUAAAAACUAUGACCCCUAGCAAUUCAUUCCCUCCAUUAGAUAUCUGGGGGCAUCUUGGCUCAGCCAAAAAUGAUAAGUCAUUGCAUUUCACAUUGCAUUCAUUUGUAUUAAUGAGCUAAUUUUUUUUCACAGAAUGUGAUGUGAAUCGAAUUACUUCCAACCAUGUGUCUCUAUAAGGGUUUAACAAAUGUAAUUUGCAUUGUCUGUACACUUUUUUUUCGGUUUCUUUUCUUUUUUAUGCAUGAUUCAUUAGUCCACGGAUCUUCUAUGCAAAGUGUGCAGGCCAAACACCUCCUUCAAUGCAUUAUUCUAGAAGUUAAGACUCAGUUUACUCCUUAAUUGAUCUGUUCCAUUUACUUCAAAUCAUUUGAUUACAUUAAAUGAAUCUUGAAAUUCAAAAAUGCAUCAAAGUUAAAAGACCUUCCAAUGCAUUAAGAAAUCAUCUGAUACAAAUAUAUGUGAACCUGCAACAACAAUAAUGUCAAAAUGGAAAACUUAGGUAGAAAAUAUUAGAACGGAAACUUACGACGAACUCAAUUUUUGGCGCCUUUCUUCUUCUCAUCUUCUGAUCCAAGAAGCUCUUCCAACACCGUGUCAUCCAAACACUCGAACUCAAUGACUUGCUUUUCUUGCCCAGAAGAGGAACCUCCCAUCUCUAAACUCCUACAAGGCCCAGAAGAUGACGAGGAAGACGAUGAGGAUGGUGAUGGUGGGGGGCGAUGGGAGCCCAUGAUUUCAGAAUAGUACUCAUUAGGAAAGUUAAGAAUGGCAAGAUGACCCCUUAAGUUAAAGGCCGCUCGAUCAUAGGCGCGAGCUGCAUCCUCCGCCCUGUCAAAUGUGCCUAGCCAUAGACGAGCACCUUGCCUAGACGGAUCCCUAAUCUCGGCUGCAAACUUCCCCCAUGGCCUCCUCCUCACCCCUCGGUAUCGAACUUCUUCCUUUUCCUUCCCUUCCUGCUCCUGCUUCUCAUUCCCUUUCGAAUGAUCUUCCAUGCUAAACGUGUCGAUUUGCUAGGCGCAAUUUUUUUGGUUUCAAAUGUGCUGGUUUACGAGAGGCAUGGAUGCUUAUGUAUAUAUAUGGUUGCCACAGUCAGGUCUGACGUCACCGCUCAAUGUAUGUUCCACAGCGUGGGUUGACGAGCUUUCUGAGGGGGUUUCCUCGAAUUCAAAGCAAGUAUAAAAAUUCGAUUCUCCGACCUUUCCAAUGAGGAUCGAACAGGCCUUUUAUUAGAACCGUAUGAUAACUCCACACUGUUUUCAAAUAGUCAAUGUGAUCUAGAUUCUUCGUUAAUUUUUUCCACCUGACUGAUUGUUUACAAUUUUAUUUUUCACCGUCCCAAAUUUAAACCAUUUACGCGAUUCCCUGGAUUGCAUUUUUCUUUAAUGUUGACUUUACGAGGCAAUAGGACCCCCCAGCAACCCCACUAGGGCGACUUCAUGGGAACCAGAUUACUUUUGGAUCCAGAUAUGGUCCAGAAGAAAUAAGACAAAUCAAUUAAUGUCCACUAAAGUUUUGAUGGAACCCUUAGUCCGUGUUUCCUGUGGAUGUAUGUAUUGUAUGCACCUCAAUUUUCACCAAUCCCUGCUACGAGUCCCUUUAAUUUUGACGUUAUAAAUGUUUUUCCUGACAUUAGCAGAGUGUUUUUCUGCCGUCUUUGAGGACCUUCCACGGCCCAUAAACUAAUAAGGAUCGUCCAGUGAAUUUAGUCUUCCCCAGUUAAUUAUCCUGCGAGGGAAACUUGGGCAGUAAGUUGCCUACAUGAGUGGCUCCCGCCUACAUGAGUCAAGGGACCAUACGUCAGGACGACAACCAGUGUGGUCACACCAAAGUGGGUUGCCUGGACUCCAGGGUGGUCGCUUCAAAGUUGUCAAAUGAAGGCUAGCUUGGCAAGUUUUGGAAAACAAUUAUUGAAAAACAUUUUUCAUGAAUAACAGUUUCUAUGAACAGAUUUUAAGAAAGUUUAUUUUGUGAUUUUUAGGAAUAUUUUUAAUUUAAAUUUUUAUAUUUUUAAUUUUUUAUUAAUUUAUUGAUUAUUUAAUAUUAGCUUAAUUAAUGGAUUUUUCUUGGUCCCAAAUUAUUAAUUUAUCAAGAUUUAAUCGCAUCCAUAAUUAGUCUAAUUUCUUUUGGAGUGAGUGUGACAAAGUGCAAAUUUCUAGAGUUUUAUUAAUGUUAUUCAAUGUCAUAAUUUAACUAAUUAUAUUAAUUAUUUAUUAAUCAAAAUAAAUCAUUCACUUGAAAUAUGAUAAUUUAAAUUAAAAGUUUCAAUUAUUUAUUAAUUAGCAAAGUAUGAACUUUUCUUCUUGUUUUAUUAUUGUUAUUCCAUGUAUAUAAUUUAAUUAACUGUUUCCAAUAUUAAUCAAUAAAAAUAGAAUAUAAGCAUGAGAAGAAUUAGUAAAAUUCAUUGAUUUGGAAUUAGAUAGCUAGAGGAAGAACUUCAUCAUCUUCCCAUUACUUAAAUUUGUAUAAAUUCUAAAUAUUUAAACCCCCCCCCCCCCCCCCCCCCCCAAAAAAAAAAAAAAUGGUAAAGAAAGACUCCCCAAGCUUUCUUGGUUGGUGUUACCCUAAAAUUUGUACAAUAAGAUGAACCAUUUGGCUUAAAGCUUGGUGCGAAACCCCUUAUCAAUUGAAAAUAUCAAUGAAGUUGUUGAAUGGUUUUAGAGGACUAUUCUUAUGCAGAGUGGCAUAAGAAGCGAGGAGAUGAAGAGCGGAGAGACGUUAACAUCGGAUGCUGCUACGAAGGUGGGAAUACGGUUAAUUAAUUAGAUUUUGUGAUGGCUUUGAGUUUGAAGGAGUUAGUUUAAUGGGUAUUAUUAGUGAACUGAUAAUUGGAUUUGAUGUAAAGAAGGUUGGUCCAUUGGAUUAGCAAUUGGUUUGGCCUUUUGGGGGCCCCAUUUCCAAAUGCAUUGCCUUUUACAAGCAUUCAACAUCGCUGGACGUAACCAGGCUUGGUUCACCUAAAAGUAUCGCAUGGAUUGAAUUGACUAAGUUUUCAUUGUAGACUAGCCUUGAUUUUCCCUUGACCUGCCCACCAAAUCCUGAUGCCCACGCGAGGGAAUACCUCAAUUUUCUAAUAAUUUAUGCAGUUUCUCUUCAAAGCUCGUGUGAUCACUUGGGUCGGUAAAAUAAUGCAUUCCUCUACUUUUUCUCCCUUCCUAGAUGCAUGUUAUACCAUUAAUUCAAAUGUGAACAUGGGCUUGGCUUUGAAACUUGGUUCAAGGCCCAACAUGUUGACCCACAAUUGAGGUGUAAUUGAAUUUGUACACUUUUCGACUUUGAUACCAUUUGUCAUUACCAUUGACAUUGGGUCAUUGUUGAUUUUGAGUCCACAACUUUUAAGGUUGUUAUUACAAUUUUAAAUUGCGCCCACCCAAUUUAUAUGCAUUAUCCCUUAUAAAUACCGAUAACCUCUCUUUCUUCGAUAAUAUAAAAUGUCACAUAUAUUAUAUAUCUCAAUGUUUUCUUUUACUUUUUUUUUUUUUAUCGAUCGACAUUCUCUCUCAGAUGAUAUGAGAUGUCACAUAUAUUAUAUGUUUCAAUGUUUCUUUUACUUUUUCUCUUUUUCCUCAUGAUUGACAUUGUCUUUCUCAAAUGAUAUGAGUUGUCACAUAUAUUUUAUGUCUCAAUGUUUUCUUUAACUUUUUUUCUCUCUUCUUUAAUGAUCGACGUUCCUUUUCUCAGAUGAUAUGAAAUGUCAUAUAUAUUAUAUGGCUUAAUGUUUUCUUUUACUUAUUCUUUCUUUAUUAAUAAUCGACAUUUUAAGCAAUAUGUGAAUAUAAAGCAUUAAAAUUAUCUCCAUCGUUUUUGGAUGUGGUAUAAAUACACAAUUCUUAUUUUUGUUUUAAAUAUUUCUAUUGCUAUCUAUUGAAAUUUUAUGCAUGAAGCUACCAAGUUAAUUAUACAUAUAUCUUAAGAUUUUUUUUUUUUUUUUUUAUAGGAUAUAUUGUCCAUGAAUAUUUUCUGCAAUGGUAUCUUGUUUGAUUACUAUAAGAAAUAAUAUAUAUAUAUAUAUAUAUAUAUAUAUAUAUAUAUAUAUAUAUAUAUAUAUAUAUUAUAUUUCAAUGUUUCAUAUUUGCUUAAAAUAAAAAUUAUAUUUUAUCACAAUAUUUGGUAUUAAAAAAAAUGAAAUCUCUCUCAUUUAUUAUUACAAAAAAAUUAUAAUUUAUAAUUUUCUAAAUAAGUUUUAUUUAUUUGCUAACUAUAUUCAUGAUUAAAAGAUUUAAAAUUUAUAAAUAAAAAAUAUUAUGUCAUGUCAUUAAAUAAAUAAAAAUAUAUGUAUAUAUUAAAAUUAUGUUUUAUUGUAGCUUUUAAUAUUUUUUUUUUUAUUCUUUUCUUUUUUGAACUACAAUUUUAAUUUUUUUUAAUCAAAAUUUUUUAAUUUACAAAACGAGUAACAUAAAACUUGCCUUUGAACUUUAUUGGAAUGUUAUAUACUACCAUUUGGCUUUCAAGACAUUAGAAAAGGCAUAAGUGUCCCUUUUAUUUUUCCGAAAGGCAUAUUAGACUAUAGUAGGAAGUGUUGUAUAGAGGCAACUAAAAGUUGCCUUUAACUUUAUGAAGUCAUAUACUCCUCUUUGGCUUUGAUGACAUCAACUAGCAAAUUGGAUUUUGUUUCCUUUGCAACAUUUUUCCAUCCAUUAGCCAGUUUUUUUAUACUGUUUGGUGCUUGCCAACAUGGCACACACUAUGGUUCUUAAAAAGUAUUUUUUUUUUUAAGAUACUACGAAAUAAAAUACACGAUUGAAAGAUGAGUCACAAUAAUUUUCAAAACUAAAUUUUUUAAUAUUGUUAAGAAAAUUUGACCACCAAAUGAUUGAUUUUAAAUUACAAAUACUUUUGUUAGCUAAGAAAUUUGUUGUUCUAUUUGUUUCCCUAUAAAUAUGACAACAAUCAUAAAUAUUUUCAUUUUAAGAUAAUUUUCAAAUAUCUUCCAUUAAUAAUAUAAUAGAAUUAGGAAUUUUUUUUUUAGUUAUAACAAUCUAUAAUUAUUUAAGAGUCUUCCUCAAUCUCUAGGUUUAAGAACUUAUUGUUCUUAACAACUAACAUGUCAUCUCUUAAAAUAAUACAUUCUGCAAUAAUUAUUGAAAUAUGAUAUAAUAUAUAUAUCUACUUACAACCAUUUUUGUAGUACCAUUAGAAUUUUUAAUUACCCAUUCUAAAGUAUUUUUAUUCUCUAUUCUUAAACCAUCAAAAUUUAAUUUAAAUCUUUCAUUAAUUGGAUAAAUCCAAUGAAUCUAACAAGUUAAAGGAUUAUGAAUCCGACAAAACAGUUGAUAAUAAAUUAAUAAUGCCAUUAAUAUGAUUUUAAUGUGAAACACAAUUAUCACAUUUAAUACAGUUAGUCCUUGUAUGAUUAAUGUUUUGGAAGCUAAAAUCAAUCUUUUGACUAUAAUAAGAGUUUCUACUAUUUCUAUUUUUGGAUGAUUUUAUAUUUUUCUUAUUGUUUUAGUUUAAUACAAAAAAUAAAAAUAAAAUUACAUUAGUAGAAUUUUUUUAACUUACUCAAAAACCUAUUUUAGUUGAAUGAUUUUUUUAAAAAAAAUAUAAAUAUUUUGUUAAAAGGGAUAAAAUAACCUUACCUUGUGAAAAAGACCUCUUCACCCAAGAUUACUUGUUCAUAAUCCUUUUAAGACGAAAAUGCCCCCUUCCUAAAAAAUAUUUCAUCUUAAACUUAUUUUUCUUUUUAUUGCCCUUUGUUCCAUCCUUCCGGCUUGGGAGAGAAAUUCAUUCUUCUUUUGCGAAGAAAAAUUCCUAUUGCGAUUUUUCAUUUCAAGUGGAAAAAAAAAUUCUUAUUUCAUUUUAAAGAAAUUGUACAUUUUCAAUCUUUCUCUUUGUUCCUAGUUGAGGGUUUUUUUUGUAAUUUUAUCUUAACACUACAAAUUUAAAGGUGAGAUUAAAUCUUAAUGGUUAUUAGUUAAAUCACAUAUCUAACUUUGUUUUUGUCAGGACCUAUAAUAUGAUUGGAACCACCAUCCAAACUUCAUUAGGUGGGAUACUCCCCACCCUCCCCCUCCCCCCGCGAAAUCCUUGGAUUUUAGUUUUGACUUGGAUUUCAAUUGCCCGUAUCAAUUUUUCUUUAUUUAUUAAUUUAUUAAUUUUCAACUUUAACAAAAGCCUUGAAUCAUAUUUAAAUUCAAAUAACUUAAUCCUAAUUAAGUUCUUUUUAAAUAAAAAUUAAUCAUUGAAAAGUUCAUGUGACUAUUAUAAUUGAGAAUUUAUCCCAAGUUGGGUUUUUUGCAAAUAAAAUUUUAUUAUAGGACAUCAUGAUGCAACAUAACAUAAGGUUGUUACUUAAGUUUGUUUUGACCUUGUAAUAUGUUAAAAUGAAAAUGAAGCCAUUGUAACAGGAGAGAAUGAUGAAGCUGUGGAGAGAGCUUAACAAAGCUUGGGUUGGAGAGACUUCACAGGAAGAGAGAGAGAGAAAUAAAGGGUAAAAUUAUCAAAAGAGAAAAGAAAAAAAAAAAAAAAAAAGAAGGUUAUGUCUUCAAAUAAUCAAUAAGAGAUGUCAUUUUUCUAAUUUUCAAAGUUCUUUUGGUCCUUCUCUACAAAUAUCCCUAUAAAAAUAUUAUAAUAUCAAGUUAAUUUGUCAAUACCAAAAUUUAUAUUUUAUAUUAGGGCGACUAAAUAACAUAUAGAAAGAAUUUUAAAUGAGUAAAUCAAAUCAAUUUUGAAACCAAAACUUAAUAAUUACCAAACUUGUAAUCUUAGUCAUUAAAAGUGUACGAUGAAAUCUAAAUUAUUAAGCAAUGAAACAAAAAAUUAAGAUUAAAAUACAAAACGUUAAAAUCAAGAUACAAACUAUUAAAAUGUAAGUGGGAUAUGAGAUGAUAUUAUAAAAAAUAGUGUGAUCCAACAAAAAGUCUAGUACAUCAUUAUCUUCACUUCCAACCAUGUUUAAAAGGUCACAAGUUCUAGCGGUUUCCAAGGACAAUGUUAAAAAUAAUAAAAAUAAAUCCAAUUAAAUAUUAAUUAAUUUAUUUGAAUUUGAGUCCGACAAAAUAGUUGGUAAUAAGUUAAUAAUGCCAUUAAUAUGAUUUUAAUGUGAAACACAAUUAUCACAUUUAAUACCCGUUAGUCCUUGUAUGAUUAACUUUUUAGAAAUUAAUAUCAAUCUUUUGAUUAUAAUAAGAGUUUCUACUAUUUAUAUUUUUGGAUGAUUUUAUAUUUUUCUUAUUGUUUUAGUUUAAUACAAAAAAAUAAAAAUAAAAUUACAUUAGUAGAAUUUUUUUUAACUUAUUCAAAAAACCUAUUGUAAGGUGAAUGGUUUUUUUAUUUUUUUUUUAAAUAUAAAUAUUUUCUUAAAAGGGAUAAAAUAACCUUACCUUGUGAAAAAAGGCCUCUUCACCCAAAUUUACUUGUGCAUAAUCCUUUUCAGACGAAAAUGCCCCCUUCCUAAAAAAUAUUUCAUCUUAAACUUAUUUUUCAUUUUUAUAACCCUUUGUUCCAUCCUUAUGAUUUGGGAGAGGAAGUCAUUCUUCUCUUGUGAAGAAAAAAUUCCUACUGCCAUUUUUCAUUUCAAGUGAAGAAAAAUAUUUAUAUUUCAUUUUAAACAAAUUGUACAUUUUCAAUCUCUCUUUGUUCCUAGUUGAGGUUUUUUUUUUUUUUUUUUUUUUUUGUAAUUUUAUCUUAAUUGUACAAAUUCGAAGAUGAGAUUAAAUCUAUAAUGGUUAUUGGUUAAAUCACUUAUCUAACUUUGUUCUUGACAGAUCGUAUAAUAUGAUUGGAACCACCAUCCUAACUUUAUUAGGUGGGAUCCCUUUUUUUUUUUCCCCAAACCCUUGGAUUUUAGUUUUGACUUAUAUUUCAAUUGUCUGUAUCACUUUUUCUUUAUUUAUUAAUUUUCAACAAGUUCUUUAACAAAAGCCUUGAAUCAUAUUUAAAUUCAAAUAACUUAAUCCCCAUUAAGUUCUUUUUAAAUGAAACUUAAUCAUGUGAAAGUUCAUGUGACUAUUAUAAUUGAGAAUUUAUUCUUAGUUGGGUUUUUUGUAAAUAAAAUUUAGUUAUAGGACUGUGAUGAUCCGUUCUCAACCGUAUAAAUAUUGUUCGUUUUGAAUUCAAAAUAACUUUUACGGCUUUAAAACAUGUUUACAAGAUUAAGAGGAGUCCAUAUUUAUAUAGCUUCACGAACUUUCCCCCCUAUUCGAUGUGGGAUGUCACAAGGACAUCAUGAUGCAACGUAUAACAUAAGAUUGUUUCUUAAGUUUGUCUAACCUUGUAAUGUGUUAAAAUGAAGAUGAAGCCAUUAUAACAGAAGAGAAUGAUGAAGUUGUAGAGAGAGCUUAACAAAGCUUGGGUUGGAGAGACUUCAUAGGAAGAGAGAGAGAGAGAGAGAGAGAAAUAAAGGGUAAAAUUAUCAAAAAAGAAAAAAGAAAAAAAAGAGGGUGAUGUCUCCAAAUAAUCAAUAAGAGAUGUCAUUUUUCUAAUUUCAAAGUUCUUCUGGCCCUUCUCUACAAAUAUCCCUAUAAAAACAUUAUAAUAUCAAGUUAAUUUGUUGAUACCAAAAUUUAUAUAUUAUAUUAGGAUGACUAAAUAACAUAUAGAAAGAAUUUUAAAUGAGUAAAUCAAAUCAAUUUUGAAAUCAAAACUUAAUACCUACCAAACUUGUAAUCUUAGUCAUUUAAAGUGUUCCAUGAAAUCUAAAUUAUUAAGCAGUGAAACAAAAAAUAUAAGAUUAAAAUACAAAACGUUGAAAUCAAGAUUCAAACUAUUAAAACGUAAGUGGAGACGUAAGAUGAUGUCAUAAAAAAUAGUGGGAUCCAACAAAAAGUCUAUUAAUCAUUAUCUUCACUUCCAAUCAUGUUUAAAAGGUCACAAGUUCUAGCGGCUUUCAAGGACGAUGUUAAAAAUAAUAAAAAUAAAUCCAAUUAAAUAUUAAUUAAUUUAUUUGAACAAUAGAUAGGACCAAAAUAAUAUUCUAAAAGGAAUCAUAGGGAAGUCCUUGGACAACCUACGACAUUGAACAAAGGUACAGUGAGACAAUGCACUUAGCCCUUCCUUGUCAUUGCGAUGAAUAUAAAAAGACACCCUGAUUGAGGGUGCCCCACUAAGCCAAGAGUGAUUCUUUUGUAUUGUAUAACGUGAAUAUUUUUGAACUUUGAAUGACCCUUCCUAUAGUCAUCAUUGUCAAAACUAGAAAAUCAGAAAGAUGCGAUGUACGAAGGCACCAUUGAAUAAGAGGCUUAAUUCUCUUUGGCAAUUAGGAUAAAGUUUCAAAAUAGAAAAAUUAAACAAAUGUACAGUGUACGGACACUUGGGCAUUGCCUAUUUGUUUUGUUCUUCUAGAGUUGUAUAUGGUAAAGGUCAUAUUGGGUUGGUUCUAUUUGGUUAUUGAAGUCGGCUAGAAUAUUAGAUUUGGUUUCAAUCUAAUCCCAUAUGAUAUUAGAAUACCAGCCCAUACAGAAUUUUUGACCAAAUAUAAUAUUUCUUUUAAAUAUAAAUAUAGUAAUUAAUUUUAGUCUAAGAUUAAUUAUGUAGUUUCCUAAAGAGACCACUUCCUAAACGGUAGCUAUGUGGAAGUUGGGCCAGGUCCUGCCGAGAAGGUUUCCACGAGCUGAGCCCAAAACUGAGUAGCUGUGAUGGGAUCAUUCUAGCAUUCAGCCUGAAACUUGUAACAUAACGGAUCGAGAGGCCUGAACUCCAAGACCAUGGUUCGUCAGCCCAUUAACUUCAACAGCACGCAUUUUAGAGGACUGGGCUUGCAAGGGGUGAGGUUUCCGGGCCGCGACCCCAAAUAUGAACAGCCUCAGAAGUGAUAUUGCUUACUGGCACGUGAAGAGCGCAAGCGUAACUAGAAGAUUUGUAAUGCCGCUUUAAUUGUUUGAUUAUAGAAUCCCACGCAUUACGCAUGGAAAGUGUAAAAGAUAAAAGAUGUAGAAUUUUUUCUUAGAGAAAAGUUCGUUUGGAUAUAGUUAUUGUUUUUUUUUUAAAUAAUAAUUGUUUUUUUUAUAAAUUAUAGAUAAUCUUAGAAAUUUAUCUUUAAAAAAAUAGUUUUUAAAAAUAUUUAAGGAGAAUAAAAGUGAUAAAAAAAAACUUUACAAUUUCAAAUUUUUAAAAAAUGAAAAUUAUUUUUAAGAAUAUAAGUUAAUCUCCUGCAUUUAAAUCUUAGGUGGUUUUUGUUUUUUUUACUUUUCGCUGAAAACAAUUUGUUUUCAAAAUUUAGGUCAUUUGUUUUUUCUAUUUUUUCAUGAUUUAUUAUAAAUUUUUUACUAAAUAAAAAAAAUCAAAAUAUGUAACUUUUUCUAAAUAAAAAAAAUAACGUAUUGAUUUUUCUUUACUUUUUAAUACUUAAUAGAUAUAAAAUACUACAAAAACAAAAAAUCUAAUAUUUAACACUAUUAAGCAUUAAAGUUCUAUUUAGAAUUAAGUAAAAAAACAAACACCACCUUAUAUUUUAUAUAAAAGUUACUUAUAUUUUGGUUUUUGGAAAUAAAAAAUAUAAAGCAUAUCCAAACAUGAGCUUAGCUAUUUUAAAUCAUAUCAAAAUAAUAAUCCCAAUAAGGUAAAUGGACUUUUAUACGGAGAAUAAUCUUUAAGGUUUUCAUUUUUAUUGGAUUUUUUUUUUGUGGUGUUUUUUCAAUCCAUCUUCUCAAUUAAUUCCUUAAAAUUAUUUUACUGUUUUUUUUUUUUUCAGUUUCUAAAUAUUUGAUUUUUCCAAAAUGCUUAAAUGGAAGACACUAAUUUUUCAAGAUAUUUGGUAUUACAAUUUUCCCUGUUCUCCCUAUUAUCUAUCAGAUUCAUGGCCCUUUUGUUUUUUCAUUGGUUUUCAAUUUAAUUUUCCAAAUAUUACAUUGUUGUGUUUUGAAUUUGUGAAACCAAUUUUAUAUAUAUAUAUAGUAUGUAAGUCUACUUUGGGUAACAUGUACAGAGAGGUUUUCAUGUGUUUGAAACCUUUUACCUCAAAAAUUAAUUAUUUUUAAUUUUAUAAUAAAUCUUUUUUUAUUUUUUAUUUUAUUUAGGAAAGCCUAUAUUUAAACUACAUGUUUGCAACGCAACACCAUACAUACUCCUAGUGGAACUUACCUUAGUGCUUGAGGGGGAUGCAGAUCUUCUUCUAAACCUAACUAAUAAGCAUAAAAUUGUUCACUAAUUAGCAUAUCUAGUAAAUCAUACAAAUUGGCAAUAUUUCAUGUUUUUCAUGUUUUGUCAAUAAAAGGCGUCUUGACCAUUUUGUGAGUUUUGUAAUAAAUAAAAAAAAAAAAAAAAAAAGGGCAAAAGGUGACUAAAAUGAGGCACUUUGGAAAGGUUAAUAACCUAAAAGGAAGAUGAAUUAAUACCCCCUUAUUCCUCUUCAAAAACCAUUGAGAAAAUGCAAGAAAUGCUCUUAGUUGUAUGCUAGGCUAACAGCCUAGCAACCAUAAUACCCUUCUUUGCAAUUGUAAGCAUUUUUUUUUUUUUUUUGAAGGCCAAACAACGUUGCAAACUUCCCAAAUCCCUUCUUUAUUUUUUAUUUUUUUAUUUUUGUUUUUAGAAGGAGAAUGAAUUUGAUGACAAACUCCUUGUCAAUCUUAUCCAAACCACGAUCGAACAGAACUCCUUGUCAAUCUUAUCCAAACCGUGUUCCACCUCAAAAACAUGUGUAGGACUUAAGGCAGCAACUGGCAAGCAUGACUGAUAGGGCCAAGUGCCCUUGUCUCUACAAUCCAUUAAGUUAACCAAGGGCAGUGAACCAUCAUUCUUUUCAAAAGCUUCAUUCCGUGUUGAAAAUGUGAGACUGAAGCAUGGUGCCCCCAAAAAUAACGAUCUAUUUACUAGCAGCAUGCCUGGACCCAUUAAAAAUACUCUACUUUAGGAAUAGAAAAAAUUACAUCUUUAUCCAAUAAUUUUAUAACAAUUCAGACGUUUCAGUCUAUAAAUAAUUGUACAUAGUUGCCAACGUUUAGCUAGUUUCAAAUGAAUAGCCUAGGUUCAUGCACCAGUUUGGCUGGUGGAGGAAAGGGAUUCGAGACAUUGAACCCUCUUUUUAGUGUGCCAAAUAUUCCACAAAAAUCACUACCUUCUCUUUGUGUUUGUUCACUUUUAGUUUAUAUUUAAUAAAUCUAUGUUUUCGAGUAGAGGUUGGGUUCAGGUGCGACCCACGUCACCUCUCGGACGGUCUUGAAAAAGGAGACCGGACCACGUAAUUUCAAAUGUAGUGACCAUCUCACUUUUACCUCCAUCCUUGAAGAUGGUUUCCCAAAUCAAUAUUAAUCUUUUGUUUACGACAAUAUCGAUCACUUUAUGUCUAUAUCGUUGUUAAUUUACCUUUUUUUUUUAGCCACAUUAUUUGAAAAUUGAUGCAAACUUUACCAACAUCUUGGUACCAUUUUAAAAUAUUAGAGUUAUUUGAUUAAAAAAAUAAAAUAAUCUCGAUAACUUGUUUAUAAAAUAAAUAUCUUUUAACAUUUAGACUAUUCUCACGCAUGCUUUAAAAUUGUAAAGAUAUUCAUAAAGUGGAACUUUAGACUUAAUCAAUAUCGAUCACUUUAUGUCUCUAUUGUUGUUAUAUUUUUUUUUUACAACAUUAUUUGAAAAUUGAUGCAAACUUUACCAACAUCCUAAUACCAUUUUAAAAUAUUAGAGUUAUUUGAUUAAAAAAAUAAAAUAAUCCCGACAACUUGUUUAUAAAAUAAAUAUCUUUUAAUAUUUAGACUAUUUUCACCAUGCUUUAAAAUCAUAAAGAUAUUUAUAUUCAUAAAGUGGAACUUUAGACUUAAACAUGAUAAUAGUUUUUUUACAAUAUUAUAAUUAUUUUAUCGUUUUAAUUAAGCCCUUUAUCAUACAUAUAAAUGUAAAUUAAUGCUAAAUUUUUAAAGCAACGUAUAACCUUUUACAUCUUUUUUUAAGAUGGUGCGAAAAUCCUAUGAAAAAUAAUAAAAGUCGAUGCAUAAGAAGAUUGUUUUGAUAAUUCAAUAGAAAAAUUCUUUUAAAAUGAUAUUAAAAAAUACCCAUAGAGCCUUUAUUAAAAAAAUCAAUUAUUUUCAUAAUAAAAAUUAUAAUUUUUUAUUAUGUAUUAUUAUUUUUAAGUAUCUUUAUUACAAAUACUUUUUUUGAGUUUAUGAGAGGAAUCAACAGGUUGGUACAAGCUUAGGCGUCCUCGUACAUGUUCCCGCUGUGCAAGGUUUUUGUCUUGUUUCGAGCUAGUCGGAAUUUACGUGUUUGAUAACGUUUUGUCCUAUUUUUGUAACGCUUUAAAGGGCGGCCCACCGUUGGAACAGUUCAAGCCAUCCAAAUCAGCCCGGAGGGUUAUGGCGACGUGGCAUGACGCCUACCACCUUAGUUCACAUGAACCCUAUGAUCGUACUACCCUCACAUGACAUCUGUGAUUCUUCACCUCCAAACCCUCUUUAACUUGGUAAUGUAUUCAAAGCUUCAUCAAAUCAUAGCGAUUAGCGACCCUCUUCCACCCUAAUUUUAUAAUAAAAAAUAAAUCUUAGUGGACAUUAAAGUAGUAUUUUGUGGGGGGAAAGAAAAACUCUAUGGGCGUAUCCACUAAAUACGAGCCAAGUAUAAGAGUUAUCACCAUGGAAUCAAAUUAUGAAGCAUUGACAUUUUAAUUGUAUUCAGAUUUGAGGAGGGCACCGCGGCACCAGCUGGCCCAGUGUAGUCUGCUAGCCUACCCGCCAUAAUGACCAAAUUAAUAAAGUAAAAAGGAUUACAGGGAUAUUCCCAACUUUAUUCUGGGUCUGAGCUGGAACUUGGGAGUUAUCACGAUCAACGGGAAAGAUGGUGGGUAGGGGACGAGGAUUGAGGGCUCCAUAUUCACAUCAGUGAAAAACGAAAUGUAUUGAGACAAGUCUUCUAAGGAUUUUCUAGCGUAUUAUAUGGUUUAAAUGAUUAUAAAUCUGUAGUUACUGGUAAAGAGUAGAGAGUGAAGACGAAAGACGUUGAGUGAAAAGGAAGGAGGAGAGGGGAUGGGGCCAUCUUACCGUGUCGGGGAGGAUCCAUAAAAGGACUACGUUCCCUGAAUCUGUAGGCAUCAUGCCUCGCCUAACGGGUUAGUCAAAAUACAGUGAUGUGUGUGAGUUGGGGGCCUCACUCCUCAUUUCUUUCCUUCUUUUCACCCCCACCCCCACUUUUUUUUUUUUUUUUUCGAAUUUUUCUUUGUCCUUUUCUCUCACUUGCGCACGCGGGAGAAGGACCACAAACUAGACAAUUCCUCUGCUCACGUGACCCCGAGUUUUUAAAUAUUUGCCUAUUUGGAAAAUAGUCAUGAAUCAUGAUCGUUAACAAACAAUCUUCACUUUAUUUAUUUAAGAUCUAUUUUUUGGAGCUCUAGUUUAGUUUAUUAUUAUUAUUAUUAUUAUUAUUAUUAUUAUUAUUAUUAUUUAGUAACUCCUCUUAUAUUAAUGAAAAAGAGAGGAGGAAUCCAAACUUGUUUAUUCUUCCUCUUUUAAGGUGUUUGUUUUUUUUAUUUUAUUUUUAUGCUUCAUAUGUCUUCAAUUUCUUAGCAUUUGUCUUAUAUUUCUUCUUAUCCGAUUCAUUAUUGCAUCCUUGGUCAAUCUUUCACGAGGAGUGCCUACUUUUUUCCUUUUUAUUAUUUAAUUCACUUUAUCUUUAUAUUUUCCUUUUACACUUUAUUUCCAAUUCAAAACGUGUCAAAAAAAAAAAUUGGUAACAAAAAAAAAAAAAAAAAUCAAUUGUAAUGAUUCUUAUAUAAUUUUAUUUAAUUUUUAUUAAACAAUAAAGAAAUUAAAAAUAUAUAAAUUUUUAAAUAAUUAUUAUAGUCUUUCAUUUUUGUGUAUAAUUUCUUUUGCAAGAAAUAGUGUAGGCUUUCCACGGUCUAAAGGAAAUGGAAUAUCAAAUGAGAAGGUAAUAAUAAUAAAGUGAGUUAUAGAUACUAAUCAAACUAAUCCACUAAUGAAUUAUUUAUUUUUAUUUCACAUGGACAAAUCCUAAAAGUUGGAGUUCUAAUUUACUUUUAUGUUAAGCUUUUUUAAGUAAAAAUCUUUUAUUAUUAUAAUUUAUAGACAAAAAGAAACCCAUUAAUGUGAUGGAUAAAAAAUUUCAAUUUAAAAAAAAAAAAAUUAAAGUUGCUAAAUUUUUGUAUUUAUUAUUUCAAACUCAUUUAAAUAAUUUAAAAAUAUGUCUUCAAUUAAUUUUAAUGAAACAAAGCAUGAUUUUUUUUUAAUUUUUUUUUCUUUACCAAAUAAAGCAUUAUUAUAAUACGUUGAUUAAAUUUUCAUCAUGUCUCUCAAGAUUUGGAUUAAAUAUACUUAGUUGUCAUAAAUUUGAAAUUUUAUUUAAUGUAUUUUUUAUUUUAAAUUAAAAAGAUGAAUGCAAAUAAAAAAAAUAUGUAUAUUUUAUAAAAUUUUAAAUUAAACGAAGGAUACGUGUAUUUAACCAAGGUGAAUGAAAUUAAUCCAAAUACUUUUUGGUAACUUGCAAAAUAUCUUGACGAAAUCAUUAUGGCAGGCAUCGUACAAGCUCAACCCUUGUCGCCUUGCUAGAAAUAGAGAAACAAAAAGACCCCCAAAUUGGGUUGCAUCCUAAAUAUGAAGAAGUGGUAACAAAGGAAGAAAAAAUGCUGUGUUAUUGAAUAGUUAAUACAUUGAACAUGAUAUGUUACAUAGAGAGCCAGAUUAAUCCUAGUGGAAUUCCACUGUCACGAUGGUAACCUAGGGUUAUGUUUGGUUAUUGAAAAUACCAAGAAAAGAAAAAAAAAUAUAAAGGAAAAUAAUUUUUUCAUUUUUGAUUGUCUUAUAAAAGAUAUAAAAAAAAAACAAAUAUAAUUAAAACUAAUUAAAAAUUUAGGUAUUUUUAAAUUAUUUAAUUUUUAUAUUAAUGAGCGAAAAUAAAUAAAAUAAGUUUAAAAUAACAAAAAAAAUAAUUUACCGAUUUUUAAUCUAUAUUUUAUUUUACUUUUUCUUUGUAUUUUUUUUUUCUUAUAUUUUCCCUCAAAUUUUCUGAAUCAAACAUAGCAAAAAAGGAGCUACCCCUUUCGAAAGAAACUCCCAAGAAUUUCAAAGAAACCUGCUGAGAUAAUGAAUGAGGGAUCACUGUCGGUAAACAGUAUCCAUUCUUUUGGGAGGACUUUCAAACUGAGAAGUUGUUUUCAUGACUUGGAAACAAAAUUUUGAGCUCUAAGGGGGUCUGUAUUUGGGCCCUAAAAUUCAAUCCAUCAAUCUGAAAAAUGCUUAGGAUAAUGAUUUGAUUUAGCCACAAUCACUAAACAAAUUCCAGAGGAAAAUUUCGCUACUCAUAGGUGGCUGAUUCUCAUAAAAAGACAUCGUGGUAGGGUGUCUCAAGUGCAGGCUCACCAUCAACUUGCUGCCCUUUUUAGAUUAUUGUAAAAUGAUUUCACAUGAAGCCCAAUGCAAAACUUUGAAAGAAAAGGUUGGUGGAGACGUGAAGAAUAUGUAACCCAUAGGCCAUAACUAGUACCGAAGAUUAUUGAACAAACAUUCAAGGUUUUUGUAUAGACGAAACUGAAAAGAAUGUGUACCAGACUCAGGCGUUCAGAUCAGAUGAUGCCGUAAUGUGGAUUGUGGAGGAGCAUUGUGCAGACAGAUAAUGAGAUUCUGAAAGCGAGGCCACUGAUGGGCCCUUGGAAGGGGGGCGUGCCUUCAAAAUUAUAUAUAUAUAUAUAUAUAUGUCAUUGAAAAUUGGAAGCAACUUUUCUUCUUAAGUUAUUUUAAUCGAAGAAGAAACAAAAAGUUAAAAACAUACAUUAUUCUUCCUUCUUACGAGGUUUCCGGGUCUAAAUUACUAUGGUCUCUGCAACUGGCGUCGUUUUCUCUCCCCUCUCUCUAUUUUCCCUUUAUUUUUUCACUUUUAGAAAGAAGCAUCCCAUCAAGAAUCUACUACAACCCUACGCUUCCAUUUUGAUUUAGAAAGUUAAAAAUAAGUUUAAGUUAAAAAAAAAUAUUUUCUUAUAUAAUUAUUUAAACUUAUUUCUUUUCCUUUUUAUAUAAAGAAACAAAUAUUUUGCAAAUAAAUAAAUUUCUAAUUAUUUUCAUUAACAUAAUAAUAAUAUUUUUCAUAUGACUUUAAUCACAAUUUUUUUUACCACUUGUCCAAGGCGGUGAGAGGUGAUAAAAUGUAUUAAAAAAACGAUUAAAUUGCAUUAGGUAUAGAAGUUUUGUGCUUCAAUUAUCACUUAUAAAAAUAAAAUAAAAAUAGUCAAAUUUGAGUGUGCAAGUUGGUAUUCGUAUGUAGAAGGAAUUGGGGGAUUUGGGGGUCCUAACAAAUUUGAUAUGAUUGAUGGAAGGAAAUGAUUAUUAUAGGAUAAAGUCCGAAUGAAACGCUGACGAGGGGGGAAAAACAACAGUGGCAAUGCACUAUCCACAGAUCCAUGAUUGAUUUAUGUUAGCAAUAAUGAAUUAUUUUGACUUUGAUAACCUUGGUUAAGAGAAUUUGGUCUUGUUAUUAUCAUUUUUUCAAAAAAAAAAAGUGUAGGUAACUAGGUAGUUGAUUUAUUAGAAUUUAGAAAUGAGGAUCCCCUCCUCCUGCAAGAGCCGUGACAGACAUGCCUGCUUUCUUGCCAGAUUAUACCAAUGUGCCCAAAUAAUCCCCCAUCUAUCAUCUCUGCACCCUGGAACACGUCACUCCCUCCUUUGAGCAAUAAAAUAUCUCUUUUAUUUUCUUUUGAACCACUCUUCUAUUUCUUUGUACCAGACUGGACCCAUUUAAAUUCUUCGCUACGCUGUUCCCAAGGACUACGAGAAUCAAAAUAGCAAAAUUCUUGAAUCAUUUUAAUGGGUUCAGAAACCACAUGUUUCUCUAGAUCAUAAGAGGAAAAUCUUUUUGGAUGGUGUUUGUGUUGUGUUGUGUUCAAUAUUAAAUACUCAAUUAAAUAAGCUAAAUCAAAUAUCACAUGAAAAAUAAUCAAAUUAAAAAUAGGGAGAAUUAUGUUUUGAGGGUAGAUGGACCCCAAAUUAACAAAAGGUUCAUGUAACUCUUCAAAUUGAGCCCAGACCCAAUGAAAAUAUGGAAAUUGAGUUGAAGUAUAUCAUCAUUCAGUAUUUCCAAAAAUGUCCUUUGUUGAUUUUGAGAAAAAAAUUAAUAUUUUUGAAAAAUAUUUUUAUGUAAUUUAAUAUUUUUUUAAAUACUUUUAUUUAAUUUAAUAUUUUUAAAAAAUAAAUUUAUUUAAUUUAAUAUUUUAAAAAAUAUUUAAUUUAAUAUAUUUUUUAAAUACUUUAAUUUAAUUUAAUAUUUUUGAAAAAAAUUUUAAUUUAAUAUUUUUGAAAAAAAAAUUAUUUAAUUUAAUAUUUUUUAAAACUAUUUUUAUUUAAUUUAGUAUUUUUGAAAAAAAAUUAUUUAACUUAAUUUUAUAAAAUAUUUUAUAUGUGUUCUUAAAGGGUAUAUUUGUCCGUUACUAUUUCAUAUCCUUCAACUCAAUUUAAAGAGUUAUAUGGACCUUUUGUUAAUUUGGGGACCCAUCUACCCUCAAAAGAUAAUUCUCCCUUAAAAAUAUAAAUUUAAAUAUGACAUAAUUAUUAAAUAUGUUAGAUCUUGUAUGAGUUUAUAAGAUUUAUGUUUCAAAAUAACAUGUUUAUAAUUCAUCUAUUGAUUUAUAAUCAAAUUUUAAAUAAAUUAAAGUUAUUCAAGUUAAUAAAUAUGAUUUAUGUUAUAAAGACUAACUAAAAAAUAAUUUAUUAAUUAAACGGAUCCUGGUCAAUAAAAAUUUGAUUUAAAUACGAUCAUACUUAAUCAAAACUUAGGUCAAAUUGUAUUGAUAAAUUACAUCAAAACCUUGUUGUGUUCAAUAUUUUAUAUUAAACUAUUUUUUAAUAAAAUUAUUUUUAUAAAUAUAAUAUUACAUCAUUUGGAGAAACAAAAUAGUAUUAUAUUGAUUUUACAUAUAAAGCAACCAGUUAACCCCUCAUUAUUUUGAUCCAUUUCACAUCCAUAUCAUUCUCAUAAUUUUUUUAUAAUAUAUUAACAUGAUGGACGGUAAUUGAGGGUAGAAAAAAAAGAUGAGAAGAAUAAAAUAAUGUGAAUCCUCUCUAAAUGUUACAUCUUCUGACAAAUGAAGUCUAUAGAAAUGUGUAAAAAAAAAAAAAACACUUAAUUGUGAGGUUCACUUGAUUUAGCAAAAAAUUAAUAUUUUAUUUGUUGUGUGAUUUAAAAAUAAUAUUUUAUUUUUAAAAAUAAAAAAUUAUUUUUAAAGUUUUUUAACACUAUUUUACUAUUGUUCUUUGAAAUAAUUUUUAAAAUUAAAAUGAAAUAACUAAUAAUUUUUAGAUAAUAAAUUAAAGUUGUUUUUAUUAGAUUUUAAAAAUAAAAGAAAAAUAUAAAACCAUUUGAUCAAAUUUUUUUAAACUUAUUUUUAAAAGGUUUUUUUUUUUUUUUUUUUUUUUCUAUCCUAAGUUAAAAGAUAAAAAAUAAUUUUUAAAGAUAGGUUACGAGCAAAUGCCACAAACUUUUUUCUUCUCUUUCCCUUGUUCGGAUAGAAGUGAAAAAUAUCCUCCCAUGGAUCGACAUUACGUGAGCCAUCACCAUUCCCCAACUGCAAUUCAACCGCCAAAGCUGAGGUGUCAUUAUUAGUUUGAACAAAAGUCAGCAUUGUCCACGUGGUGACAAGCGGAACUGACCCAACUUGCAAGGCAAAAAAAUAAAUAAAAUAAAAUGAAAAAAUCAGAUCACCAUUAUGACGUCAGUCCAAUUGCUGACCUGGCCGCCGUCCCCCAUUUGACCCACGUGUUCAUUUAACCCAUUCGCCGUAUGCCGUGGCUCCCCACCCAUAUGGCCAUAUCUGCCAUUUAUUUUAUCCGUUGCCUCCAUUCGGUUUUUGGAUUUUACCCAUUCGCCCUCGUCUAUUCCCAUUUCCGUAUUUGCCCACCAAGGAAAUUCAAUUCCCAUGCUUUUGUUUUACAUUCAAAUCCUCCCCCCUCUAUAUAAAGGAGGGAGUAGGGCUUGAAAGUUUCUCAAGCCAACAUGGACUGUUGAGAGUGAAAGACAGAGGAGCCACAAACAAAUAUCACUCACUCAAACCAAAGCCAAAACCAAUACCGAAUUCAAUUCAAAUGACUUCUUUCUCUCUCAUCAAUUCCCUGAAUUCCGAUUCCGAUUUCAAUUUGUUAUCGGAUUCUUUUUCCUGGGAAAACUCCCUACCUUUCAAUGAAAACGACUCCCAGGAGAUGCUCCUCCUGGGCAUGCUGGCCAGCUCCACUCAGGAAACCUCAGAAACAGUUUCUUUGAAUCGAGUGAAGGAGGAAGAAGUGACUUCCCAGGAAAAUCCCGAGAAGGAGAAGUCAUACAGAGGCGUUAGGAGGCGGCCAUGGGGGAAAUUCGCAGCAGAAAUAAGGGACUCGACCAGGCAUGGCAUAAGGGUGUGGCUGGGAACAUUUGACAGUGCAGAGGCAGCUGCUCUGGCCUAUGAUCAAGCUGCUUUUGCGAUGCGGGGCCCUGCGGCAGUCCUCAAUUUCCCGGUGGAAAGAGUGAAGGAAUCGAUGCAGGAGAUCAAGUGCAUCUUGGAGGAGGGGGGCUCACCAGUGGUGGCCCUCAAGAAGAGGCACUCUAUGCGGAGAAAAAGUCCUUGCAAGAAACAUAAAAGUGAAGAGGUGAGGUUAGAAAAUGUGGUAGUGCUGGAGGAUUUGGGUACUGAAUACUUGGAACAGCUCCUCACUUUCUCUGAGACCUCUAGUCCUUGAUCAUCAUCAUCCAUCACCUGGAUAGCUUCUUCUCUUUGCUCUGUUUCUUACUUUUCUCUCUCUCUCUCUCUCUCUCUCUCUUUUUUUUUUAUGUAAUUUUUCUUAAUGUAUUUUUGGAGAUGGCGGGGGUGUAGUGGUGGCAAUUAUCCAUCUAGAAUUUUUCAAAAGAUAUGUUCUUUUGUUUCUUUGUAUAAAGUUGAAAAGUGGGGAUCAAUUGUGAUGGUGCUCUAUGUUCAUCCACCCAAUUUAUAUAAUCAAGGUGAUUAAUGUUUUUUGAUAUCAACAAUUUGUGAAUGACAUAGAGAGAGAGAGAGAGAGAGACCUUAUUUUCUACACUCAUUACGGUGGUUUCCAUUUGGGGAAGGAAAAGGAAAUGGCUAAGAAUGUUACCAAAAGAAGUGGGGUGGCUUUCAUAUGCGUGGUGGCAUACUUGCAUACAAACUUUUCAAUUGUGUUCUGCAUGCCACUCGGGUCAAUUUCAUUUCUUUUACUCCUAGUAGCCUAAUUGGAUUUCCUUUUUCUCAUGAGACAUCAAAUAAAUUUCAUUUUUUUAUAUUUAAAUAGUUAGGUAAGUUUGAUAGUGAGUUAUAUUUUAUACAUUAAUUCAUCUUUUAGAAUGUUGUCUACAAUAUAAACAGUGUAAUUAAUUUCAUCAUUACAGAACAGUCAUCUUAUAAAAUAACAUAAAAAUUAUUGGAUCACUUGUAUGGCACCACUGAUUUGGACUUGGUAUGGCUCUGUUUGGCUUCAUAGAAAAAAUUUGGACCCAAUUUGAAUGUCUUGCAUAAAAAGAGAUACGUCCCACUUUGAAUGAUAUUGAAGAAAAAAAUUUCUGAUGAAGAAUAUAUUGUUGGCAGGGUCAUGCAGGCCAAUAGGGAAACGAUAAAUUCAGAAGAAUGAGUCCAAACCAGUGGGCUUGAAAAUUAAGAAGAGAAUUGCUGUAUAAAACAAUCAUUUCUUAAUCGAGUUCACUUUCUGAAUAAUCGUCACUUUGAGAAUGCAUACUUAGGAAGAUGAUGAUCCUUAAUGGGAAUAAUCAAAGGCAUCAAAAAAUUGUUCUGGAACAAUUCUUGAUUGUCUCCAGUAAAAUUCAAAGUCAAAAGUCAAAAGUCCAGUCGGUCAACACCAAACCAGGCCAGUCCAAAAGACAUUAAUUUGCAAUCUAGAAUCUAUGAUGAGGUGGCGAAAUCAAACCUUGGCUUUUCACCAGGGAAUGGUACUCUGAAUUUGGUCAGUUCACUGUUUCGAGUGAAUAGGGUGUAGUAAUUAGUAAAUCAUAUUUUAGAUUUGUGUCACAAGUUACAAGGGAUAUGGGCUGACGUUCAAUUUUGGCGACAAUUUGUGGGCCCGUAUAUUUGUUGAGAUGUGGAAAUUGGGUGUGUGCUUUUUUCUGCUACCACAUAAAUAUAUUUCUUUGAAUUGAAGAGUGUUUCAGACCAUUUUUUUUCAAGUCACAAAUGGACAACUGAUUGAGAUUGUAUUGGUGAGAGUAGGAGUUUAUUUUGGGCUGGUUGAGCGAAGUUGAAAGUCGAGUUGGACCUAACCCUUGAAUUCAGCAGACUACAGUCCGAUCCUGUAUUUUGGAUUUAGGGAACCUUCUUUCCCAGAAGCUUCGUCUGGGUUUUAAAGUCUAAAUGUGGCUACUCUUAAACAUUGGAGAAAGGAUGAGCGUUCACAAGCAAAUGGGUAAUUGUGGAUGGUUCAAGGACCUGGCCAGCUGGUCUUCAAGUUUGGAUGCCGGUUUGGGCCUGAGAGAGUCUUUGCAAAGUGACUUCACUUCAGCCUAUGAGAUCAAGAUAUCAUGGUGAUGUCCGAUCACUUAGGUUUCAUUUUCACCUCGGAUUACCGUUACCAUGUUCAUGAAUAAAAAUAAAUAAAUAAAUGAAGCCUUAUAGAGAAAUUAAUGAAGUGAGCUAUACAAGCAACUGGGCCAGGAGCCUACAAGGCAGAAAUUCCCUGCCCUAGACUAGGCCGAAUAAAUUAGAUGAAUGAAUUGGGGAAACCUGGGCCAGCCACACAUCCUCCUGAAGGCUGAUGUCGAACUCGCUUACGAGGAAUGGACAUGGGAGAUUGGGCUGGGACCAAAUAACCAAUUGACAGCCCUAUCCUUGUGGCAAGACGUCAGUAAAAUGGUUCAUUCUGAUUUUACGCUGCCAUUCAAUUUAAUUUUAAUUUUUGUUUAAAGCGAUGUACAAAUUGAAUGGUGUCUAGUCACUUAAAGAGUGGUUCAUAAUACACUUAAUUUAAACAAAAAAGAAAUUAUUAGAUAGGGGAUUCUCCAAUAAAAACCACCCCAUCUUGUCAGCAAGUCCGGAAACUUCCUUCACUUAGGGCGUAUUUGUUUUUUUAACUUUAAUAUUAAAGAAAGUUGGUUAAACCUUAUGACACUUUUAUAUUAUUUUAUGAAUUUUUUUUAAUUUUUAUUUUAAUGGAAUUUUAACUUUAAUACAAGUUGGAGUAAUUCUUAUCUUAAAAACAAAUCAAAAUUACUUUAAUUUUAUAUAGAAAUAAACUUACAGUAAAUUUACCAUGAAAAUUUCUAAGUCAAAUACACCAUAAGUGCUAGUAUUUUAUAAUAUUUAGAAACAUGUUAAAUUAUUAUUAUUAUUUUUUAAAAUUAUUAGUUUUCAUAUUAGUUUUAGGGAAACUUGUGCUUUAGGUCUUUUAUUUGCAAAUAAUAUGGUUUUCAAAUCCUAAGAAUAGAAAAUAUGAGAAUCAACUGUUAAUGUGGAAAAUAAUAUCAAUUUUGUGCAAUCUCUAUUGACUCAUUUUUUUGUGCCUAGAUUGCCUUCACCCACUUCCAUGUCAACAACCACAUUAAUAGAUUGUUUUUUUUUUAUAAAACAAAUAAUUAUUAUGUUUAAAAUUUUGGGGAAACUCUCUAUCUCUCUUACUUCUUCACUACAUCCGAGACCCAUCUUCCUUAAACGUUUGCCUCUCAUUUUGCCCUAACCCCAAAUCUCAUAAAUUUCUCAUUUUCUUGCCUCAUUUGAAAUAUGAAGAUGACCGAUUCUCAAACAUCUCUGUCUCUCUCUUCACGUUUUGACCAGUCUAAUUGGAAACCCAUUUUCCAAAAACCUUCUUUCUUUCAUUUUGCCCUAACCCCACUAUCUCCCUCUUCAAGACCUAAUCACCCAAACUCGAUAUCUAUCUUCCCAAAACCUUCAAGCAAACUGAACUAGACCCAUAUCUUCUUUUUUCAUCAUCAAAGGUGAAAUUUUUUUAAGGCUUUUGGAAACCGAAUUGGAGCUUUCCCUUCUUCUGGGAUUAAUCAUUCGCAAGUGAGUUUUCCAUUUAAGGCUUUGUUUGGCUGUUGAAAUCUUGGGAUCAAAGGUCUUUUAUUUUCAGGUUUCUUGUAUUUUGCUUUAUUUUCUUGUAUAUAACAAUAAUCAUUGUAACAUAUGCUAGUAGUUACCCUUGGUGCAACUUUACAUUUCCAAAUACCCUAAAGUCCAAAGCUUUUAAUUCCCUUUUCAAAGCUUUCAACUUUGAAAGCAGACUAAACCAUAAGAACUAUGAAACUUAUAUCUCUAUCACCACUAAUUAAGCAUGUCUAUGAAUCCUUCCACUUUAAGUCACUUAUUCUCAAACCAAGAAGGGCUCCUCUCAUUCUCACCCCACCUCAUCUAAAUGAGGGAAAUGAUCAAUUGCAGCCAUGCUUUGCACCAAAUUAGAGAAGUGAUCCUCCCAAUCAUCCAUUACCAAAAAUUGAUCAUGCUGAUGAGAUCAUAAGAGUCUAUUCGGAACUCCCAGUUUACUUGCCUCUUAUCUCAGGAUCCUCCAUUACCCCCUGUCUUUCCAACAUCAAAUCAACUUGCAAACAAUUCCUUUGUAGAUAAAAUGUUUUUAAUAUUGCAAAAGGGGACUUAUCAUAAUGGUUGAAUCGAUUUAUUUGAUAUAAUCACUCAAAUUCAAGCUUAAAAUUGAUCAUAAUAAAAUGUUUUUAAUAUUGUUAAAAGGAGAUUAUAAUGGUUUUAUUUGAUAUCAUUACUAAAAUUCAAGCUUUCAAACAUGCUCUACAAAGAAGUUCUAAAAGACUACAAGAAAGAGUUUCCACUAAAGAAAAACAAUGAAACCAUUUCUACUAAAGACAAACAAUGAAACCACAGAUGCUUUGUGAAAUAUGUACCCGCACAAUCCAACAAACUUUAGAAAUUCACAAACACUACCUAGAAUUUUUGCUGACCAGCAAAAAAUUUAUGCAAUUUAAUUCUUAUUGUUAUUAUUAUUUUCAAUGUGAACAAAUAUGAUUGAAUUAUGAAGUAUUUGGCCAGAAGAGGAUCUUGCCUAAUUAUAGUCAUUAAACAACCAUUUAUACCAUAGCCUCUAGACUUUAAAAAGUUUAUAAAACUCAAGGGCUUCCACCCAAUUUCUAGAUAUCUCCAUAACAUUCUUCUGACUAUUAGAAAGCAAUUACCACUUUAAUUUUUCAUUUCAUGAGUGUUCAAUUCAGAAAAAGACCAGGAUCGAACUUGCGAUCAUGCAGUCGAAAAUCCACCUGUGCAUGAAACUAUUGCCUCACGAUUGCAAACUCAAGUUGGAGUCCAGUAACAACUCUAGGUUUGCUGAUGUGCUCCAUUUGAAAUAAAGGAACUAAAGAAUACUUUAUAAAGAUUAAUUACCUUCAUAUUUUAGGUUGGGGUUAAGGCAAAAUGUGAUAGAUUGAGAGGAAGAAAAUAUAUCUUGUUCAGGAAGCCAAUAUUUUGGAGUUCACCUUUCCAUUCGAGUCCACUCUGCUAUAGCAAAAUCAGAGUCACAACUAUGCCUCUUUAAGCUAUCCUUUAAUUGGAUGAAUUGCAGAUUUGGUUGCUGAGAAAGUGGAUAAGAAAGAAAAAUGCAUACUGUAGCUUGAGAUUAAGAGUUUGUUUUCUAAAAUGAGAGAAAGGGAAAGAGAAAAAAUGCAUAUUGUAGCUUGAGAUUAAGGGUUUGUUUUCUAAAAUGAGAGAAAGGGGAAGAGAAAUGUUCGACAACUUUGAGAUGACAAAUUUUUAGAUUUGGAAAAUUUGAGAUGAGUCUCAGGUUUUUUUUUUUUUUUUUUUGUCUUUGUCUUUGUUUUUUUUUUUUUUUUUUGUUUUUUUCCCAAAAACAACCUGUUAAUGUGGUUGUUGACAUAGAAGUGGGUGAGGGCAAAAUGGGCAUAGAAAAAAGAGUCAACACAAAGUGCACAAAACCCAUAUUAUUUUCCACAUUAAUGACUGAUUCUCAUAUUUCUUGUUCUUGGGAUUUGAAAACCAUAUUAUUUGCAAAUGGACCUCCCAAAGCACAGGUUUCCCUUAGUUUUAUGUCUCCAUCUACAUUUUACAUAUAAAUAGAUUAUUUUAUAAAAUUUGUUUUGUAGAUAUAUUAGUUAAUAAUUAUAUAAUUAAUGAUAUAGAAAACAUAUAAAAAUCAUAUUUAAAAAAGAUAAUUACAUAUUCCUCAACAAUCCAUCCCAAGAAUUCGAGGUUGAGUUGAAAACAUGUAGAGUCUUUGAUGUUAUUAUAAUCAUAUCCAACACAUAUGAUUAUUGUUUAUGAGAUAUUAUUAGAAAGUUUGUCUUAAAAUAAUUGAUUUAUUACCCACCUUUAGCAAAUGCCCAUUUUUGCGUCUUUCAAAAUUUUCAUUUUUUUUUUGUUUAAAAGAAGUAUUGUAAAGAAUGAUGAAAUAAGAAAUUUGUUGAGAAAGUGUGAGUAAAUAAUUUUACAUAAAAAGAGAUUUAAUACUUGAUAAAUAAAAUAAUAAAAUCAUGAUUUCUAGUUGUAUAGGGCCGGGUGGAUGGAGUGGCUAAGAUGUAAUUCUUGAAAUAGAGGAGACAACAUCAAUGUAUAAAAGUUUAACAGAGAAGGAAAGUGUGUUUGAAUGACUUUAUUUUCUUCAUUUAAAGUUUUGACGAUGAGUGUUUAUACAAGAUAAAUUUUCAAAUGAUAGGACUCCUAUUUACAUGGAGUUUGUGAUAUACUAUGAUUAUACAAAUUUAAAAUUCAAACAGAUUCAUGAGUUGAUAGGAGUCUGCUCAAUACGCCCCUUCAAAAUGGUGGGAGAUAGCACACCAAUCUUGACUCGAAGGGCCUAAACUCGUGCAGAAGAUGAGGGCUUUGUUAGAGCAUCGACAAGUUGAUCCGUGGUUGACAUAUGGGACACCUUGAGCUCACCUGAUUAAACCUUGUUUCAAACAAAAUGAAAAUCAAUCGCCGAUGUGUUUCAUGGAGAGUGAAACAUGGGAUUUGCACAAAGAUAUGUUGCACCCACGUUAUCACAAGAGAUAGGAGGUGGUGAUAAAUUUGAAACACUAAGUUUUGAGAGAAGAGAAUUAACCCAAAGAACCUUUGAGGCUGUAGAGGCCACGACGUGAUAUUUCGCUUCAGUGGAAGAGCGUGCUAUGAACUUUUGUUUCCUCGAUGACCAAUACACAAGAUUGUGACCAAGAAAAACAAUGGGAGCAUUGGUGGAGGAUCUGACAUAAGGAUUCCUUGCCCAUUCAACAUUCGAAUAUGCAUGUAGAUUGAUGGGCGAUUUCUUAUGCAAGAACAGACCAUGCACCAUUGUGCCGACUAAGUAUCUAAGCAAUCUUUUAACACAAGACCAAUGUGUUGAUGUUGGAUGGUGCAUAAAUUGAGAUAAUUUAUUCAUCAAGAAGGUGAUGUCAGGGCUAGUAAGAGAGAAGUAUUGAAGGCUUCCAACAAUUGACAUAUAUUUAGUGGGACCAGGAAAAGAGGUGUCAUCACACAGAUUUGGAACAUUGUUGAGGAACAUCAAUGAUUGAACUGGUUUGGUAGCCACCAUUUGUGUUUUCUUAAGAAGCUCUCGAAUGUACUUGAGAUAAAAAUAAUCCUUUGGAAGUAUGUAUCAUUUCAACACCAAGAAUAAAAGAUGAAGUCCUGAGAUCCUUAAUGGAGAAUUUGACUGCUAAUUGAGAGAUCACGCGAGCACGAAAAACAUUAUUGUUACUUGUUAAAAUAAGAUCAUCAAUAUAAAUAAGUAGGUAAACAAUGAGACCACUCUUUUUAAAAAUGAAGAGGGAUGUCUCGGUUUAGGAGUUGACGAAGGCUAUUGAGAGGAGAAAUUGGCAAAGUUCAUGAUACCAUGAUCGUGGAGCUUGUUUAAAGCCAUAAAAAGCCUUACAAAGUUGGCAAAUGUGAUGAUGUGUGUAUUCGUGAACCCAGGAGGUUGAAUCAUGUAAACAUCUUCAUGAAGUGUCCUAUGCUAGAAUGCAUUAUUAAUGUCCAAUUCAUGAGUUGAUAGGAGUCUGCUCAAUACAAUGUGGGAGUGUGAUUUCAAAAUUAGGGUAAUUUCGAAAUGGAUUUUGUAUUCACAAGUUGAAUUUCAAAAUUAUUUUGAAAUGGUCUUUUAACUUUAAGCAGUUGUGUUCAAAAGGUCAUAACUUCUUCGUUUCAAUUUUGAUUUACACAUUGUUUAAAACAUUGGACUCUUUACUUCCCGAGCUUCAAAACGAUAUAUAGUAUGCUCAAAAAUGACAUCAGGAUUGGUUCAAAUUUCAUCUUGAUAUUAGAGUACAUGUUGUGAUUAGAUUUUGAGUUCCAAAUUUCCAUGUAAACUUGAUUGCAUUUGCUUCAAACCUCCUUCAUUAUGGUUGCUUGCCCUCUAUCUCACUUUGCAACAUUUGUUACUAGUAUUUUAUGUCCAUGACUUACUCAUUUCAACCUUUCUUGGAUUCUUCAUGGUUCACAAAUUAUGGAUUCUUCAUGGUUCACAAAUUGAGUCUUUCAAUUAUGCAUGUUUAACUCCUAUUUCCUUGGUUGAUAAUGACUUUUACACUUAUCAUUUUCUUUUAUUCUUUAAACCUGAAUUUAGACUUACAAAAAAAAGUUAGAUCCAUAACUAGGGUCUUAGCAUCAAUUUGAGUUAAGUUGGAUGAUUUGAAAAUUUUAUAUUACAUAAAUCAUAUCAUACAUGUGCCAUUGGAGUGCACAUUUUGGCUCUAAUCAUGUUCCAACCCAUUGUUUUACUCUUGCAUGAAGUAUGUGGCCAUUGAUUUUAAUUUUAUUUGCGAUUAGGUUCAAAAUGGUGCUUUUGUGUUGCUCAUGUGUCAUCAGAAGAUCAACUAAUGGAUUCUCUAACAAAACUACUACAUCAUAGUCAUUUUUUUUUUUCUUAAGACCAAGAUUGAGAUCUCCAAUCGGAGCCAACUCCAUCUUGGGGGCAUGUUAGUGAAAGAUAAAAUUUAUCUUUAAUUUAAAUAUUAAUAUUUAUCAGUUAUUAGUUUUAAUUAGAGUAAAAGAUAGAGUUUAAAUUGGAGUAGGAGAUAAACUUGUGUUUGAACUAGAAUAGAAGAUAAAGUAUAAAGAUUUAUGUUUGAAUUAGAAUAAAAUAUAAAGUUUGAAUUAGAGUAGAAGAUAAACUUGUUCUUUAUUUGUAUAUAAAUAUUCAUCAAUUCUUGAGAAGAAGAUUAUUUCAUAGUUUUUCUAUCUUCUUUUUUCUUCAUACAUAUCUGCAAGAAAUUGAAGAUUUCAAGUAAAAUAUUUUCUGUUUUAAAUAGUGAAAAAAGCUAGAAAUUCACUUUGUUAUCUCUUGGGGUAAAUUGACAAGGUUUAACGUUAAGAAGGUGAAUUAUUUUUUCAGAAAAACUGAAGUAGCUAGGAUAUCUGGCCAGUUGUGAUCGAUAAAAAAGUUGUAAAAUCUCUCAUAUACUAAACAGGUUUUGGAUGUUGGUAUGGUAAAUCCAUCUGCAGUCAUUCGUCAUCUCAUCUAGUGAGAUGUUUGGGAGGUGGUGACCGCCGGAUUGGGUUUCAUUUGGUUAAAUCUGUCAGUGGGUUGGCUACUACCCGAGCCUCUUGCUUUGGGGGAGGUGGGUUCUAGAUAUAAUGUUCAAACCAUUUUAGUUAUCAUAUGCAUGACAUGUAAGCAUAAUCUCUUUAUCACUUCUUCAAUGGGAGUUCAUGGUUAGGAAUUGACUUCUUUUCUUCUGGGAUGCUUGGCAUGUAAUGGACAAAGUUACUUUUAUAUCGAUCGAAUUUCUAGUAUUAUAGUGAAGACUUACCCUUUUGACAUUUUAUAUCGAAUUAUAGAAGAUGAAAGGGACAUACAUGCAAUCGACUGACGCUUUAGUGAAUAUGCUGAAAAUAUGCUGAUGCUGUGGAGAUCGUAUGAGGACAGAGGAAAAAGAUAGAAAUGGAUAUAUAAUUAGACCUAGGUUUUUAUUAAAUGAGAUGGGGAACAUAGAGUGAGGGAAAAUCAAAAUUUUUGGCUGCAGUUCACAUUGGUGAUAUUUUGGAUUGACAAAGACUAACGACUUUUCUAUUUUUCUUUUCGGCCUGACUGGAUAGUUGGACAUGGACAAUACAGAAUCCACAGAAGGAUUGUUGGGACCGCUGAAAAUUAGCUAGAAGAAGCUGAGGAAGUAGUCUACGUAGUCAAAUACCAAACACAAAGAAAGAAAGAAAUGGAUAUCAUGGAUGCCUAGAGUUAUACUCCUAAUACCGUCACAGGUAUUUUUCUUUCCUCCUUUUUUUUUCUACGAUAAUUAGAGCAUUUCUCCUCCUCCUCCUCCUCCUCCCCCCACCCCACCACCAAAAAAUAAAAAAAUAAAUUAUUGCAAGUAACACUUCAAAUAUUAAUUUAUACAUUCUAAAGUAUAUAUUCAUGAAAUAACUUGAGUAUCAUACAUUAGUUCUCAAAAAAAAAAAAAAAAAAAAAAAAAAAUUACUGGAAGAGAAAAGUUUAAGAAAACAUAAAAAUAUUCAACUACUAUUUUAAAGAGAAAAUUUAAUUUUUACACUAUAAAUUUGAAGAGAACUUUUACAUGCAUCUUAUAUAAACUACCAUUUUUUGCUAAAAGGCUUAAAUUUGUCAAAAAUACCCCUUAGGUGCUUAACGUUCUGGUCAUAAUAUAAUUGGCAUCUUUUCUCAAACAUAAGGCCUGUGUGUGGGAACAAGAUUUAAUGUUAAUGAGCUUCGCCACCGACAUUUAGUUCCAGAAAUCAUUAUUUUAAUAGAGUGGGCUCAAUUUACAACUUUAAUUAAACUCUAACCAACUGCAUUGUGAAAUGAAUAUGUUUCUUUCGUGGUGAAUCCAAUGAGUUGGGAGUCAAACUUUGCUUCAUUGUGUAUAGAUGAAAUGUUAAGACUCCAUGUAACCUCAAACAUUUCCGCAAUNNNNNNNNNNNNNNNNNNNNNNNNNNNNNNNNNNNNNNNNNNNNNNNNNNNNNNNNNNNNNNNNNNNNNNNNNNNNNNNNNNNNNNNNNNNNNNNNNNNNUUCUUUCGUGGUGAAUCCAAUGAGUUGGAGUCAAACUUGCUUCAUUGUGUAUAGAUGAAAUGUUAAGACUCCAUGUAACUCAAACAUUUCCGCAAUGAGCGGGAGUUCUAAAUUUAAUAAUUGAAAUUGUCAGUGGAACCAGUGGACAAGAGUUGGUUUGUGGUUGACAAACUUAUCCGUUUGAUCUUUACUUGAACAGUUCCAGUGUGUGGAUGGGUACUGAUGAAGUGUGCGCAUUUAUUUUGAGAAGCCUGCUUGUUCGCAUAGAUUUUAACGACAUGAACAUUGUGGUAAGGUUAGAGAGUAAUGCGAAUGUAGGAGCUUAUAUUAGAAAUGACACAAACACGUAAAUAGAAGUAAUCUAUAUAUGAUAUUACUCAUGGACUACAAGCAAAGAAGUACAAUACAUGGAGUAAGUGAUGAAAUGAGCAUUCCUCACUACUACUGCUUGACUGAUGGAACAUGAUGCACGAGAUAGCAUAAGUAGUAGUAGGAAGCAGCUCUUAUUUGUGGCGUCGGUAUACAUCAUACUAGGUAGAUGGUUCAAUUGGCAUGGAUGGGUGGUGGAGCCUUGAAGUGCUUGUGAUGGGGAGCCCACGGCUUCUUCUCAGGAGUUGGUGGCUUCUUGUAUGGAGUUGAUGGAGGUGUUUCUACUGGAGGGUGGCCAGGGUAGUGACCCUGGGGUGGUGAAGGUUCUUUUGUCGGUGGUGGCCUCACUAUUAUUGGCGGUAGAGUUGGUGGCUUGGGCGUUGGCGGUGGUCUCACUACUCUUGGGGGUAGAGUUGGUGUCUUGUGUUUUGGUGGUGGAGGUGGCUUAACAGGAGUUGGUGGCUUGUAUUCUGGGGGUGGUUUCUCCACCGGAGGUGGCUUAUAAACUGGAGUUGGUGGCUUGUAUUCUGGGGGUGGCUUCUCCACUGGUGGUGGCCUGUAAACAGGGGUUGGUGGCUUAUAUUCUGGGGGAGGCUUCUCCACUGGAGGCGACUUAUAAACAGGGGUUGGUGGCUUGUAUUCCGGGGGUGGCUUCUCUACGGGAGGUGGCCUGUAAACAGGGGUUGGUGGCUUCUCCACCGGAGGUGGCUUAUAAACGGGGGUUGGUGGCUUGUAUUCUGGGGGUGGUUUCCCCAGUGGUGGAGACUUGUAAACAGGAAGAGGUGGUUUGUGCUCAUAUGGGGGUGGCUUGUGGUCAUUAGCAAGUGAGGGAGUGGUGAGGACCACCAAUCCAAGGAACAACACGAGUGAGCAAGCAGAAGACAU
rnacentral:lncRNA from 1 species